GAGGGAGUCGAGGUGGAGGUGAUUGGGGUUAGGGUCAGGGUUGUGGUGGUCGACGACGGUGGCGGAGGCCAUGGCAUUGAAGAGUGAGCAACAGAGAGAAAGAUAGGAGAGAGAGAUUUGGGGGAGAAGAAACCAAAGUGGAAGAUGGUGAUGUAGACGACGAGCCGUUUCGGGACUCCUGUUGUGAUUGAAUGCUGCGCAGUGUAGUUUGGCCUUCUGUGGGAGCAGACUAAGUUGCUGACACGUGUAUUAAUUAAUCCUGUGGCAACAGUGAUGGUCUGAGUUUUGAAGAAGUUCCACUUUAACCUCUCUAUUUUUAUUUAUUACGACUUAACCGUUGUAAUUUUCAAAUUGUUACAAUUUAAGAAGAAUGACUCAACUCUUCUACCUUUUCAACGAAAUUACACAACAAUAAUCUUCUAAAUGGCACGGGUGCAAGCGGGUGGACACAUUGUCUUAACUAACUUCAUGUAUACAUUGUUCGUGUUCCAUAUAGCAAGCUGCAAGAGAAGGCAAAGGAAAUGCAAGAUGAUAAGGUUCAUUUAGGAAUUUUGUUAGGACCCAAUGUCCCCCCGUUGGAAAGAUAACUUGUGUUGGAAUGAUAUAUGAGGUUUUGAGCACUCUUUGCUUAUGAGCCGGUAGUAAAACACAUUCUUAUUCGACGAGGAUUUCAAGGUGUUGUUACAUCACAAGACUCGUAAAUAAGUGAUUGUUUAUGGAGGAGUGUUAAGAAGACCAAAUUGUCAGUAAUUAUAGAAUCACAAAGAGAGCGAAGUGCUUUCAUUUGGGGCUUUCAGUUUUGAUGCUCCUUCCCCUGCUUUCAGAGCAGCACCUUGUUGCUGGGCCUUCCAAAGCUCCAUUUUGAUUGGGCUUUGGCCCCAUAUAACUCAAAAGUUCAUCAAAAAAGGUACACUGCAACAUCAUCAAGCACACCUAUAAAAUUCAAAAGGCCAAAUACUUUGGUUGCUUAAAAGUUUUAACCGUAAAUUAAAGUAGUUUAGAUUAUCGUUUGUACAUUUUUUGAAUUUUAAUUUAUAAAUAAAAAGAAAAUGAGUCGAGUAAUGUUCAAUCCAAAGAGAUGACAACAUCAGGACUCACUUUUCACUUACUACUAUGUUACUAAUUGAUAUAAAGUAGUAGCAAGUAAGUUAGGUAGAUAACCCCAUCAGCCAUUCAUAUUGGGCAAUAUAUUUGAUUUUUGGAGAUGUGAUGGCUGUAGCAAUUACAACCAAGAAAAUGAGAAAAUGCUGUAACAAUUACAUGGUAGCUUGAGAGUAGUGGCAUGCUUCAUGUGCCUGUCAUGGUCAUGAAAACUCAGUUUCAAUAAGCUCACAUGAUCAUAAGAUCUCAACCCAAUUGAUAAAUAUUAUAAACUAUGAUAUAGUAUAAUGAAAUUAAUUGAGGGGUAGGGUCCGGAUGGGGGUGCUUUUGGAAGGGUUAAAAGCUUUUUCUGACAAUCAAAAGUGCUUCGCCAAAAUGUGUGGUAAAAAAUUUUAAAAGCGCUUUUGGAUCAUAGAAUGGCUUUCUGGAGAAGCAUCUGCCCUGUGCUUCCUUAGCAAGCACUCCCAAAUGCUUUUUCAAAAAACACUUUAAUUUCUUAUGAAAAUUUCAACAUCUUGAUGAUAAAAACGAUUUUACAUCUUCUAAAAUAGGAAAGAUAUUCUGUCUGCCACCACAAAGAAAAGGCAGGCCCAUGAUUUAAUUUGCAGGGUGCACGCACUGGAGCUUUAUCACUGAGAAAGUUCUUUAACUCUUAAUGUAUGACUGCUAGUUUCUCAUCCGCCGCCUGAACGACUGAUAUUAGCAGCCGUUGAAACGACUGAUAUUAGCAAAAUCUAAUUUCGAGUGGAUCAAAUAAGAAAGACAAUGAUGGUGGAACACGUAAAGGGUGACUGAAGGCGGUGAAUAAUGUUCACACAAAAGGAAUCAACGGACCUGCACGGUGGUGCGUACGAACCAGCGUUUUGGCCUUAUUAUUAGAUUAUUGUUAUUAUUAUAUGUGUGAUGUGAAAGUAGGUGAGUUGAUUGGCAACAUGGGACAUGCCUAUAAUGCAUUAAACUACAACCAGCAAACAAAAUUGGGUGUCCUAAUCAAAUACGAAGACCCUCAUCUAACUAAUUCCUGGACCCCAACAAUUGCGUCCAAAUACUAAACAGCUCAAGAUUAAUCAUCGGUCCCUACCAAAUUAGUGACAAAAUUAAUUGAAUUGAACCACCAGAUCAAUACUGUCCAUACAAAUUUGGUUACAUACUAGUGAGUGAAGUAUGUGUUCGAGUCAAAUACUUAUGUAAAGUUAGAUUGUAAGUUACCAGAUAUUUUGUUUAAAUCCAAAUUCAGUUUUAGACCUUAUAAUUGUGUAAAUUGUUUUAAAAAUUUGGGAAGUGUUAUUAGCACUUCAAAGUAGUAUCCUAUACUAUUAUAAUACAAUUAUAAUUUUGUACAUGCAAUAAUGUACCUAAUGAAGAGAGAAAAAAAAAAAACCUUCAAUGAAGACACAAUGUCCAAUUAGAACAUACCGCGUGUUAUUAGGAUUCAUAUUCCGCAGUGCAUGUUAGGUUACUUAUUUAAUAAUGUGGUAGGGAAGGGAAGUCUAUGCCGAUUUUUAUGUAGGUGUUAUCAAUCACCACCGUGUUAUAAUAAGGAUGUGCAACAUGAUUGUACUCCAGGGUAUAAUAUGUUUUAGUAUUCACGUAUUAUAAGUUAUAACAUAUGUGGAUUGAUAACAUCACGAGAUGAUCCCGAUGAAAAAAGAAUCGUAUUAAAUGGUGAAAAUUUGAGAAGAUAUUCUAUCACAUUAUUGUGGCAAUAAGUAAGGUGAUGAUAUAGAAGGUGAGGUGAAAAAUAUAUUUAUUUAAUUCUAUAGUAUAUUGGUUUUAUUAUGGCAGGUUAUUCUGGUCUGGAUAUUAUAUUGGCAGAGUUACAUGUUACAGAAACCGUGUAACAUGCGCGUAUGUCCUUUUCUUGUGCGGCUCUUCUAUAUCUUCUAAAUCUCUCCAUCUCCUGUUGCCUAUUUCUAGUGUUUUUUAGGCUGUGGCUUAAUUAGUCCACAACCACAACCACCGCUCAAACGAGAGUUUCAAGCCGUUUUUUCAGGUUGGAAGGAGCCCAAGACCUUUCUUUCUUCUCAUUCAAAAAGAAGCUUCAACGCCUGUAAGGCACCAGGAGAGAGGACGAGAGUCAGAAAACUUUCGUCCAGUGGGGAGUGUGGAGAGUAAAUGCGCUCGUCCAUCACCUCCGCCACCCUCCCUCUCUCUUUUCACAUUGUGAAGUUAGAUAGAGGCUCGAAACCGGUUGCUUUGGGAAACUAAAGCAAUUCUGGCAGGUAAAAAAACUCUGUAACAUAUGUAAAGAUUUUGUCUUUCUUUUUGCCAAUCUUUUUUGCCACAAAAUGAUGGCCGUACAUAAUACGUAUCAAUCUUGACGUGUUGCUUCUAAAAGUUUUUGUAUGCUAAUUGGUAUGGUGGUGGUUGUUUUCUGCAAUAAAGUUCGUGUCUUGGUGGUUUUCUGGGGAUACGGGAUUUGUCUCUGAAUUGGGUUCAUGCGUUUGAUUCAAAGAAAGCUAAUGUUGGUUUUUAAAAUGAUUUGGAAGUAUUUCUAAAUUAUUUAUUGUUGUUUUGUGAACAGAGAAGGUUUUUGAACAAACACAUUUUCCCAAAGCUUCCAGAGAGGAGCUGCAGCAUAUAAAACUCUGGCCGACAAUUCGGACAAGUUUUCUCGAGCCGGAGCAGGUGUUGGCCCUCAGUUUUCUGGUCAUCAACCCUGUUUCGGGUGGCCUCAGUCACUGAUUUGGUGCCUUCCUGUUGAUUAUGGUUAAACACUUGGUCCAACUAACAUCAGUGUAAAGCCCAAACAACCAGACUUUUGGAAUUUGAACGUGAGCUCAGUUUUGAAGAAAACAGCAGGCAAAACCAGACUGAAAUACAAGCGUUUUUGGGUUUCGGUGUAUUUUUUAGGAUUCAGAGUUUAUUGUAUCAAAAAUGACAAAAUUCAGUUGCUUCUCUGUGAUAGUUAGGCGGAAGAAGAAGGUUCAGGUGAGACUCUCUCUCAAUAUAGUUGGUUUCUUUAUUGUAAUGUGAUAUAUGUAUUUGGGUUUUUGUUGAACUUUGUGAAUUGUGAUCCGCUCAAUUUUCCGUCCUCUUUUUGCUUUUUCUGUUUAAUUUUAGAGAGAUUAUGAAUCUGCAAGACCUGUUGAAGUGGACAAGGCAAUUAGAACCCUGCAAGUCAGGCUUCAACAACAGCCAGUGAAACAUUUGGAGAUUGAUGGGACCUUGAAGCCAGCAACUUUAGGAGUCUUGAUACCUUAUGGUGUUGAGAAGAAGUACACUACCCCUAGUGGCAAGGCAAGGAGCCCUUACAGUCCUAUUGGGUUUGUUGAAGCAGCAUUCUAUGAAGGGGAAGAUGAGCAUGAAGGGAACCCCUUGGAGAGGGAAAACUGUUGUAAUGAUUGCUCUCAUCUGCAAACCCCUGAAGCCAAUUCAGGUGAAGUGACUCCAUCAGGGAAGAUGGAUUUAUCUGAAUCUGAUUCAGGUGAUAGGGGUGUUGAUAGGAUUGAAAGUGGGCAUCUUAGUGAUCCGGGCGUAGGGAAGGCAGAGUUUUGGGCAUCACCAAAGCUUACCAGGUCAUGCUCUAAUUUGGAAACUCAUCAUACGGAUGUGGUUAAGAAGAUGUCAUCUAAGUUGCCUGCUUCGAAGACUCAGUAUUUUGAAGAAUUACAUGAAUUGGCAGACAGUGUGACGAAGUAUGUUGAUCCUGGCAGCCCCGGUUCUGUGUUAACCCACUUCACUGCUGAUAAAGUGAUGCUGAAGAAGCAUUCUUCAAGCCAAGUUCUUCCUUCUAGAAGUAGAAAGUUGUGGUGGAAGUUGUUCCUUUGGAGCCACAGGAACCUGCACAAAACAAGGACUGCAAAACAAAAAACGCCUAGCCCCAUUUCUUUGAACAAGCAAGGAGGGUACUCUUCGGAUACACUCGAACCAAACCGGGCUAUGCAGUUUGUCAAGAUGGAAUCACCUCUGUCUUGUACUGGAGAAUCAUUGAACAAGGGGAAGAAUAUUGCAGAUGACAACAAGAGCUGGGAUGGUUUUAACGUUGGAGGCUCUGCUUUAUGGCCUCAGAACCAAUGGGUUGCUUUCUCAGCGGACACAUCCUCAUCUACAAGAGUGCAAGAGUGGGUGAAAGAUCUCAAAAUGCAACCCUCGGAAAAUAAUGAAUAUGACUACGAGGGACUCAUCACCCCACCGACCCCGCCCACUCCUGAGACUCCUCAAUCUCCGGUGAGUCCUGAGACUACUAGAUCAAAAAGCGCAACUUACUUUAGUCGAGGUCUUGACGAGGAUACUUUACAUGCUAAUACUGUGAUCCAGACUCUAAAUUCUUCUACAACUGUGGCUCACAUAUCUGGUAUGGGAUUGAAAGCUAUCCCCAACAUUUCAUGCUUAGGCAGUCUUCGAUCUAUCAACUUGUCAAACAACUUCCUAGGUAUGUUGCUAUAGCAGAAAACAAAUAAACCAUAGAAGUUAAUACUUGCAUAUUGGUUAACGGUACUAAGCUUCUUGGCAAUUGUUCUCAAUUUGCAGCCCACAUCACUCCAGGAUCGCUGCCGAAGAGCCUUCACACGCUCAACUUGUCGAAGAACAAAAUCAGCACCAUUGAAGGACUAAGAGACUUAACUCGAUUGCGUGUACUUGAUGUCAGUUACAACCGCAUUUCUAGAGUUGGACGUGGUAAGCUUUUAUCAUUCUAACUUUUCAACCAUCUAAUUAAUCUUAGAAAACAAGCUUUCCCAAGUAAAAUAUACUAUUCCAAAUGGUCACUGAUUCACUGUGGAUCUUAAUGGUGCCAGGGUUAUCAAGCUGCACUCUAAUCAAGGAGCUCUAUCUCACUGGGAACAAGAUCAGUGAUGUCGAGGGUCUACAUAGGCUACUGAAGUUAACAGUUCUGGACCUGAGCUUCAACAAGAUAACAACAACAAAGGCAAUGGGACAGCUGGUGGCUAACUACAACUCACUGCAGGCUCUGAAUCUGUUAGGGAAUCCAAUCCAGAACAACAUCAGUGAUGAGCAGCUGCGCAAGGCAGUUUGCGGUUUCCUCCCGAAGCUAGUGUACCUGAACAAGCAGUCCAUCAAACCACAAAGAGCAAGAGAGGUACUCACAAACAGUGUAGCCAAAGCUGCAUUAGGGAACAAAGGAUGGAGCCCUCGUAGAAAAGAUGGCAAGAGGCUUAACCAAAAACGUGCCUCGUUAAAAAAGCCUAAUACCAUAUCACCAAGAAAAACUUCAUCACUUCCCAUACAUGGGCACAAGAGCGGUGCAAGUGAUGUACAGAAAAACAUACGCAAGUCCAAGAGCAUAUCCAUAGCUGCACUCCCCUCUUCAUCCCAUUAGAUGCUUUUUCCAUGUUAGCGGGCCUUCCCAAAAUUUUGACACAAAAUUUGUAGGGGGUGUCUCUCCCUUCUCUGUUGUUUUCAGAGUCUCUUCAAAGUCUGUAGGGCUACAAAGACCUGGUAGUUUUCAUGUCAGUUUUCAUGUCAGUUUUCCAUCGGUUAUUAUAUAUAUGCAGGCUGCAUUUUUGCUAUAUUUGCUCAUUUCUAUUUAGUUGAAACCAAAUUGGCUCUUACUAUUCAUUACAAGGCAAAAGAAAAAAGUAAUCAUUAGAGAACGUAAGACAAGAAACCCAUGUUGAUGUUGCAACCUAAACCUACUACAAGAUGCACAUCCAAAGCAGCUAAGCGAAUUUGGAAAAUGAUGAUUUAGUAAAUUGUUCAUCGAUAUUGUCAUGUACUGUGAUACCAGGCAUCGGCCAUUCGCCCCAAAAAGGGGUUUUCCCUUAUAAUGAUGCAAGCAAGUCGCGAAAUUCCCGACUGUUAUUUCACAUUGUGAGAGCAAUUCAAGUAGUUCAAUUUCUAGGCGGCAAGGGCGAAGGUUAGCUGGAGGUUUGUGUCUACUGUAUGAUUCCAAAUUAAUAUGGAAAAAAGAAAGAGAAAAACAGAGCAAGGCUUGGGAUACUUCGACAUGGAAGAUGACCAUUUAGGCCAGGCAUAUUAUAUUACGCCCUAAAGAGGAGAAAUCUUGUGACCAAAACUUGACGUGGAAAGACGUGUGCGGGUAAACAUCAUAAUGCUUGCAAACAAAACCAAAAUCUUCAAGCUUUAUCUUCUCCUGUUUCAAAUCUUUAUGGCCUGAGAGAGAGAGAGAGAGAGAGAGAGAGAGAGCUGUGAACUAAAAUUUUGGUUCAUUGCUACCUCUUGGUGUUUAUAGCAUAGGAUGUCACUAAAGAAAAAGGCAUACUACAAGAUUCAUCGCGCCAAGCUGGCCCCAUAAAGAUUUUCUAAGAACGCACACGUUUCUGUAGACAAAGUAACAAACAAAAUAUUAAAGUUAAUUUCUUAUUUUACAGGACAAGUGCUUAACAACUAACUUUACCAAACUCCGUAGCUUUCUCCCUCCUUUUUUUUUUUCAUACGAUCAUAAGGAUACUCUACAAGGUUCACGCUCAAAGGAUCAGAACAGAACUUUGGAGCUCAUUUUCACCAAUCAUUAAGUACCUGAAAUCUAGUUACAAAAGAAUACAAAAACAAAAUUUGCUCUCCAAGUAAAUCCUUGCUUUGUAGUAGAAUCAGAAUGCCCCUGUUCACAAAAUUCCCAGUUCAUUUUCUUAAAUGAUCACCAUCACCCUGGCACCAGUUGACCAACAAGACAUGAAAACUCCUGCUGCAACUCAAAGCCCGGAGGUUUAUUUUUGCACACCUUCAUCCACAAAAUUACCAAGUAAAUCGUUGAUAAAUAAUCCAAAUUUCCACAAGGUGCCACCAAGCUUUAUAUACAUCACAUGUUAUGAUUUCUUAUGACUCGAAAAACCUUGCAACACAAGAUACAGUUAUGUCAAGGACCAACCAAGAUACCUCUGAUGCACCCAAAUUCCUUCUAGGUCCAAGCUUCCUCAAGCUAUAACACAACAUUCUUUGAAGCACAAGCAAAGAACUCCCUCAAAUUGUCCAAACCCUCUUGUCAUUUCCAUUGAUCAACACAACCCUGUUCCAUUUCCUUCAUUUCAGCAUACUUAUACAGCUUCUCAUUGAAAACCACCUGCGGAUCCUUCUCAAUCAAAACCCCAUUUUGGUCAUAAGCAUCUUUCAAGAAAACAACCCAAUUCAUCUCUGUCCCCGCGAGAUAAAACGUUCUGGGCUGCUUAAAAAGCAUCUGAUAAGUAUGCUUGGUCAAACUAAACUCCUCCUUGAACUCCACAACAUGGUGUAUAGAAGCCCUCUUCUCCAAUGUCAAGCUCAAAAACUCAUGCAACACUCCCACUCUGUACUUCUCCGCUUCCAGAGUCCAAAGGUCGAAUCUUGACCCAUCCGAAUACGGCGAAACCAGAGGAAGCGAGUUCAAUAAGUUCAAUUUCCUCUCAUCCUCUUUUUCCAAACCCAAAUCCUUCCCAUGCUUCACUGGAAACCUAAAAGCCCUCUUCACUUUCUCCUCGUCAACAAUAAACUCCCUCUCCAAAGUGCUCACCGCCAACAACGGAUCCCAAUUCACCAAUUCAAGCAUUCUCUUCCCACCUUCCUCAAUCACAGUUCGAAAAUAAUUAGGGUACUUCGAAACCCGGUCUCGAAAAUCUUCUGGGAUUCCAAAUAAGGACCUGCAAUGGUAGAUUUUACUCAAAGGGAUACGCUUGUUCGAGGACAUCAUAAGCAAUUUACGAACCUUGUUAACUCGGUCCGAUUCCAUUGAGUCGACAAUGACUCGUUCCUGUUCGAGCAAAUCUUCCAUGAACUCGGUGAAGCCGAUCCACAUUUUGUUGUCGACAUGGCGGUAGGUUUGGAACAGAAGGGGGUGGCGCUGGAGGAAUCGGGCGAUUUUCCGGCCGCGAGGGAAGCCGAGUUCUCGGUGGAGCUUGCCGGCGUCGUCGAGGCGGAGGACGCGGUGGGGCUGCUUGGAGAGGAAGUCUCUGGAUUUUGUGAGGAACCGGUAGUGGGCAUCGCGCUCGACGAUGUGCUCGAAGUGGGGGAUGAGGUUGGGUUGGGUCUGGACGAGCUUCGUUCGAGGGCUUUCGUCUUUCUUGCGCUUUUUUUUAAAUUUUUUGGGGGUUUUGGUGAUGAGGAAGGAGGUGGAGAAUGGAGAGGUUUGGAGGAGGAGGAGGGAGAGCUGCAGGCGAUUAGGGUUAGGGUUUGGGUUUGGGAGAAGAGAUGGGGGUGUGGCGGUGGGGGUUUUGGAAACGAGGAGGCGCCACCAAGCCAUGGAAUUUGCAGCGCUCUGCCCAAACUGAAGUGAAAUUUAAAUUUCAGCAAAAUGACCUGAUACUACAACAAUUUCUCAAACUCUCUUUCCAAUUUUUAGGUUUACCUAUAAUUUAACCCAAUUAAGAAUAGAUUUUUGAAAAGAAAAUAUGGAGGGAAAUAAAUUUUAGAUGGAAUAAAUCACAUUCCUACUUACUUGCCAAUCAUAAUUUAACACGUAUACAGAAAAAAUGAAUUAUUUAUGUAUAUGCUUCACCACUAGAGCCCUCCAUUGCCGCCCAAUAUUUCUCCCAUUUGCCAUGUUCUCUAUUUGUUCAAAGUUUUUUUUAACCAACAUAGGGGCCCUUUUUAUCCAAUCUUUUUAAAACAAGCGAUAUUGGCGGACAGGGAAAAUAAACCUAGGAUCUCUAGUGCAGAUAUAAGAGUAAACGUUCUUAACCACUUGUGCUACAAGCCCUUUGCCCCUUGCCCCUUUCAUCCAAUCUUUAGUGUUUCUAAACGAAAUCAUAAUUUUCUUUUGUAACAUUUAAAUACUAACACUUUAUGAGCAAUUUUAUGAGAGAGCUAGUGAACCAAUUGGCCCAAGAGAGACUCAUGGGUGUAUGUCUCGAAUAAGCCCAGUAGAGAAAAAACAACCCUCUGUGCUGAGAGAGCUAAUGCCAUUUGCUGCGUCACAUGGACAAAUCUAAAGCAUGCUUGCGAACUUUGUUUCCCAAGAGAAGGCCAAAUUACAAGCUUCACAUUUGAAAUGGAUCAUGUAAUAUUGCAAAUGUAAAAUAUAAUCAACUUUUGAUGGUGCUUGACAUAAAUGCAUUGCCAAGCAUGUUUUUACACUAUAAGAAACUGACUGCAUUUGUUUAUUCUGUAAUGAUCUUCACAAUCUUAAUCAUGUGGUUGUAUAGUUACAAUGAGAAAUUACAUGGAAGAUUAAAAAUCUAAUCCUACACUUCUCUCUCACUUGCUCCGGACCUCAAUACCAUAAUAAUUACAUGACCUAUGUCCUAUGGCAGCCUUACGGCUCCACAGGAGUUGUGUCGCUUUUACAAGACCGAAUUUUGAUUUCUUUUCUCCCAUGUUUUCUUUGGUUUCUUCUGUCCAAAAUUUUUGAUUCCCUCCUUUCAACGGCAGAGCUUUAUGAUGAUUGAUUAAAAUAAGUAAAUGAAUAUGAAUGAAGUGAUAUACCACCAUAUCUCAGGCUCCCUUUGGAAACUCCUUAUUAGUUUGCUUGUUUCUUGAAGAAAGGCUUUUGGCAUAUGAGUAGUUUCUCAUCGCUGUUGCUUUCGAUUUCUACCACACGCGCAUCCCACUUCAGCCCUGUUGUCAGAGCUCUUGCUGAUUCGACAAGAGCAGCUUUGUCAUGGAUUAUCACCCAACCCUGCAAUAACCAUCAACAUCAGAAUCAUAACUAACAUAAUGAAACAAAGAAGAAACAAUCCUUCAUAGCAACUGUAAGUUUCUUUUGUGUUUCGGUGGCAUUGAAGUUAAUCAAUUAGCAUCUUACAUAACUUGUGGAUGCAUAGUGGUUAAAGGCUUCAUCCAACACUAAAGGAAAAUAUGAUUAUCAUAUGCUUGUCCAUGUGUUCUGACCAGUUGCAUCCUGACAUGUUACUAGACAUCUAUCCAUCUAUAAGAACUGGUGUCUAUAAAAGGCUUAAAAAGCAUUUCCUCUAUGAGUCUACAAUUUACUUAUCAGCUCCUCGUUCUAAGGGCAAAUAGCCAGCGUGGAAAAGAAACCGCACUUAACUAAAACACAGACAAAACCAACAGCCAGUAUUAGUAUCACCAAAACAUAGCCAAAACCAAAUGAGAGUUUUAUUUUUCUUCCUUGAGUCAUUAAAAGUGGAACAGUUACACAGUACCAUAUAUGCAGUAGACACAUGAUUUUUAUGGAUGUACAAAAGACCACCCACAUGGUCCUUGCUACAAACUUAAAUUUUUUGAUACUUUCAUCUUCUUUAAAUGGUAAAAAUACCAAUAAUAUAACUGUGACAUACAAACUUGCAUGGCAACCAAUUCAAUCUUGCGUGCAAAAACCCAUUCAAUGCAACAAAUAACAUAUUCGGGGCACAACAGAAUGCUCUGAUAGUAAAUUGAUUUUUAAAUUGAAAUUUAUUAUAUACUCUGUAAUCUUGCAUGAUAAUCAACAUCCAGAAAUUAAUUAGUGCAUGUCUGACUAGUUCUUCUGAACAUUCAAAGCCAUUGAAUAGAAUUGGAACAAAAAGGACCCUUGCAAAAUAACCAUAGAUAAAAUAGGACCGUUUAGCAUGGGUACCUCUGGACGAAGCAAUCGAUCAAUCUCAGUGAAUAGAUCCAGAAUGGUACAUCUGCGCUGGUGAUCAACUUCAAGGGAAAGAAGUCCUGCUGCAUGCACCAGAUCAUAGGUUCUUGGGUAUGUUGGAAAGGGUUCACACCUGAAAAAGAGAAAAAGUAGUAUUAAAACAAACUAUAAAUUCAAUAGUUACAAGUAUCCUUUCACAAACCAAAUGUAUGAUGACAUCCCUUAGCAUGCAUUGCUAGUUAUUUCUUCAAGUUAUUUACCCAAGUUACAAAAUUGUUCUAAUGCUGAAUUAUUCCAAAUGGCAAGGCUGUUCUAAUACUGUCCUGCCCAAUGAAAUUUUAACCAGAGUUUUCUAAUUUGGCAGCUAACCAAGUAAAAUGAAGUAAGAAUUCCCCCAUCAAGAAUUCAACCAUCAGAUCCGUAAAGUCAGCCUAAUUUAAGAAGCUUGAGGUCAUUUUUAUAAUACAAAAUUCCUGUUUGGUUUACCCCACUGAUCAACCAAGGGAAGGAGCACCAGCUGACUACUAAACAUGAAGGCCAAAAAAAUCCCUAGUUAGGGUACGAAUCUACUUUCUCUCCUUCAUGAAUGUUUAAGUUAAAAAAUACAAAAACCCAAUAGCAACAAGACUUGGGAUAGCAAGCAAAUCAAAUUAAGUUGAUAUGGUGCUUUUUGCAGAUGAAAUUUGGUUAAGUUUGAGAUUCCAAGUCAAACACGAUGUUAGUACAUAAACGGUAACUGUAAGACAACAUGAUGUAAGGAAAGGAGGAUGCAAAGACAAAAGUAGCUUUACCAAUCAUGCAGAACACCGACAAAUCCCCUGUCAAGGAUCAAGGGCAAAUAAUUGGGUCCAUUUGACGGGACCACAUUCAUGACCCACACAGAUUUUCCAGCUUCCAAUAAUGCAGAAUUAAAACCACCAAAAUGAGCAUUCAUGUCAAGUACGUUUCUAAGCAUGUUAUAGGGUGGUGAAGGAUCCUCAUCGCCGGGUCUCUUUGGAUGAUCUGAGAAUAUCAAUGGUGACAGAAGAGACCAAUAAUUACGGACCGCCAUUUUCCAGGUCUCGGCAUCCUCAGAGAGUUCUUCUGGGUGCAAUCCUGAAUGAAAAUUAUAACACAUACAUAAAGCAUAUGAUUUUCACCAAAAAUAACGUAAGAGAUACAUAGAUAAGUCAGAGGCUAAGCAAAUAAUGCAUUUAUUUUUUCCACUCUAAGCUGUAUCAAGAACACAAGAAGUACCAUAUAUUGCAAGUUCACUCUUGUUUGGAUUAGCCCUUGAAGGCCAGGUUGUCCUCUCUUCAAUAGGAAUCCAUCGGCGGCUUUGUGUUCCCCCAAUACAAGCUUGGAGUGGUCGAUAAUAUGGAGAUUCAACAUCAUGGCCUUUGCUGCAUAUAGAGGGACCUGAACCAGGCUUCCUAAAGAAUAAGCAGAUUGUAAUACAAAUCAGUAUCAGCUCUUAUUUGCGUGCACUAAAGACCAAACACAUAUGAUCCCAAGUUGAGAAGAAAAACCAUGUUAGUUUCCUUACCGCGAACUAUAACAAUUCCUUUUACUGGUCUUUUUCCAUACAACUGUUUCAUCUUGUUGUGAUAACAUCUCCCAGCAGAGAUUUUCUGCAAAAUCAUGCACAAGGUUCCACCUUUUCUGAUUCACUUUGUUACGACGAAACGUCUCAGCAUUUGUAAUUGGUGAUGUCCAGACAAAGUAUCCACCGGGCUUCAAAACUCUAUCAACUUCAAUCAAGAGGAUCCCAUCUGUACGACAUAACAUUUUAUACAGAUGAUUAACAUACACUAAACAUGGACCCAUCCAAAUCCAGAAAUUCACAAAAGCAAAACCAAGGUGCUCAAAUUCACAGUCCAGAUUCUAAGAUUCUGCAAACUAAGGUUAGUGCAUCACAUCAAAUUUUUUCUCUUAUUCAAACUUUCUUUUUUCCAAUUACCCUAUUAAUGGUCAGAUAAUACUUCACAAAAUAUACAACCACACCCAGGAAAACUUUGUAACCCAUAAACUAUUAUUCUAAAUAUUCUUCUAAAGAAUGAAGAUCUACUAAUAUUUCUGGAAAUUCUUUAAAAUAGAGAAAUUGAUAUUGUUGGUUUUAUACAUUUGUGAUACAUAGUUUUCUUUCAGUUCUCGAAAUGUACACAGGUUUCAGGAUAAGUUUACAACAAACACAACAUAACGCAGAGUAUUUGCAGAUAUACAAUUACAUGUGCAUACAUGUAAGUCUAGAAAGAAGAACCACUUUGUGAUAAUUAACUUCUGACUGAUUACCUCGUUGGUCCCAAUCAAUGCCACACCGUGCACAAUGCAACAUAUCAAAAGAGAGAGAUGGAUAUGGCAACUGUUUCGAAGUAAAAGAACCAAUCAUCGCAGGAAGACCCCUUUCAAGUGUUAGCUGAACUUGGCUUCCUGAAGCCUCAUAGUUUGCAAUGCACAUAGUUAGGAUCUGACUGGAAAAGAGAUGCGCUCCAAAACUACCAUAACCACAUCCUAUAUCCAAGAUGGUUCUCACCUGCAAAAUUAACGUUGACACUUUCAUUCAUCAAAAGUGUUUAUAUAAUACAGUUCAUAUGGCACAAAUUCAUGUUGCAGUACAUCAAAGAGAAAAUAUACUACAAGUGAUCAUAAUAUAACCAUAUUAUGCUAACCGUUUUCGUAAUAAUCAGAAUCAUAUAAGACUUUCUGUAAAUGAUCAAUCAUGCAAGAGAAACCAACAGAUAUGACGUAUAUCUGUAUAUCUGUAUUUAUGUGGUAUGUAUGUAUGUAUGCACAUGUACACAUAUAAUGGCACCAAAGUCACCAGAGACACUUGGUAGAGUACCCUACGGAGUUUUAAAGUACUUUCACUCUCUUUUGGAGUUAGCGAUGUAAAACAUAAAUGCCUUGAAACAGGUCAGACAGCUUAUUACCUGAGCUGCAGUUUUCAUGCCAAAGGUGAUAUUUGACAUAUUUAUCAACAUGUAACUAUAACUACCCAAUAAAAGAGUGUGUUGAUUCAUUAUCUUAAACUGAAAAACCUUUCAUUUGGACUUGGGGUUAGGCUAGGCCCCUGCUUGUUCAAUAUAAUUAAAUGCUCUAAAAAAAAUUUGCCAACAACUUGGCUAAAAUUCUAAAGAGACCUGUUAUAAGUGCAAUAAACUACACAAGAGGGAAGACAACCAAGAAAAAGAAACGAGUUAAGAAUGUUGCCAUUAACAUUUGGGGUCGGUUCCAACAAUUCCAAUCCACUUACCCCAGCUUGUAUAAAGUUAGAUUCAUUUCUCAGCCCUAUCAUUUCUGCAAUUUGAUGAGAGUAGUCUUCAACACCAUCAAACAUCAAUGAGGCUGAACGGAAUGAAAUUUGCUCUUCUUCCAACAUCAUCAUCCUGUAUGUACAAGGAAAUCCAAAAUUAAAGCAAGAUCAGGACAGGUUAAUAAAAUUAUAACACAGUUGGCUAAUAAGAGAAAUGUAGCUCACCUCUUGGUCAAGCUUCCAGAAGAAAGUACCUCCUGCGCAGUUAUUUUCACAUUUGCCACCCAGAUGACAUCUCUACCAGUAGGCCACCUAAGAGGAAUUUUGUACUUCACAGGUGGAAGAACUAAACAAUUUUGCCUCAUUCCAUACUCACAAUGCCGGUCAUAUUCAUUGCCAUCAGAAAGACCUAAGGCAAGAUUCUCCGAAACAUUGAAGCAGGGAACAUGAUUUUCAAACUCCUGAGGACAGAAUUCCAAGUCUCUCAACCUUGAAGAACCAAGAGAAAGCUCUCCAAUAUGCCACAGAUCGGAAACAAGUUGCUGUUGGAGUCGCCGAUAACCAUGGUAUACGCGACCUCUUGAAGUCGUUGAGAUGGAGAUUGUCCACCAAAAGGAUCCAGUAAGAGCAAGAAUAACAAUCAAUACUAAACUUAACUUCAACAGUAGCAGCGCUAACUUGUGCCGACUUCUAGGAGUACUGGCUAUUAAAGGAUCAGAUGCAAAGCCGUUUCCAGUAUUUCCAUGUUUGGAAGGAGAAUUGUCUGGGAAAAGUACUCGAAUAGGAAACCUAAAUGCAAUACUGUUGUUAUCAGAAGAAGCUCUUCUUUCCAAAUCUUCUUUAUCUGUUUUAUCUUUCAUUUGGGAGUCCCAAAAAUCAUUGCUAUUCCCGGAGAUCCGUUCCCCCGCUGCCCCAGAUGAACCUCGAUGCAGAGGUCUGGACAUUCUUAAUUUCAAUUGACGGAGACCAGGGAGCAAGAAUCUGUUCAAUAAAUAUAAAUAAAUAUAAAUAAUCUGUAUACAAGCAAAAGAAAUCCAGGAAAAGCUCAAACAAAAGAGAAACAAGCUGAAACGUGAAAAGGACAGAAACCCAAAGAUGUUCUUACUUAAAUCCUAAGAAAAUUUCAAAACGAGAAUAAUCCUUCAUUAAAAAAAAAAAAAAAAAAAAAAAGCUUUCUUUUUUCUGGUGAGGCCGAAACUUCAUUCAAAAGAGCUGGACAUAAAGAUUCGAUAAAACCCAGGAUUGAUUUCUACCUAACAAGCUUAAGUAGAGGAAAGGAUAAAAUGGUAUCCUUGAGCAUGAUCAUUUCCUAACUAGAUCCAUUAACCCAGCACCAAGAGACCCCAUCAACAUUCGAUCAUGAAAAGAAUAAACCCAGAAAGGAAGACAAAGUGCAAUUAAGAUUUACAGAAAUAAAGGGGCAGUAAAGCAUAUGCAUUUCGGUAUAACUAAAGAUUUGGAUCAGUUCCCUUACCGAAAAACUUAAAAUUUUGGAUCACUUUCAGUUCCCAAAUGAACUGGUAACAAAAGGGCAAGCUCAUUUCUAUUCAAAAUUCACUUUUAAAGACCCAGAAAAACAAGUUGAGCAAAACCCAUUUGAGAUCAAUCCACAACUUAACCAAAAAUAGUGGCUACUUAAACUGCAAUAGAGCCAAAUGUAGCAAAAGUCAGAAGCAGUAGCAGAAGAAAAACAGUACCUUUUUAAUUAGGGGAAGAGCAGAGGAGAGGUGAUGGAUAAAGGGAAUAAACAGUAAGAAAAGCCAAGAAAUUCUUGGACAUCAGUAUGAAUCCAUAGCUAGACUUGCUUGUCUUGGUCUGCUUAUGCCACAAACGCUUGUUCUACAGUGAGACUCCGAUUACAUCUCACUUGGGUCUCUUCCUCCCACUUUGCUCAAUGCUUUAGCUUAGAGAGAGAGAGAGAGAGAGAGAGAGUUGAGAGAGUGAGGAGAUUUUGUACCGAUCCAAUCACGACAGAGCUCGUGAAAAUUGAAUACUAUGUAUGAUAUGUAAUAUGAAAAAGAAAUAUACACAACUGUAGAGAGAAAGUAUAAAUAUUAAUUUAUUUUAUAUAAUCGUUCAUAAUAAAUGCUGGGUUAUAUGAUAUCAUAUACAUAGUGAACACGCUAUGUCUUCUUACCAUGCAGAGUGCACCGCCGCUGUAAAUUCUCACUUUAUUAUUUUAUGUCACAAAUAAAACCCCAAUUCCCACAAUUCCACGUUAAAUUCUGGUGGGAAGAGAAAGUGUGGCAACAUGGUCUUCCACGAAAGAGACCUCUCCUUCCCCCUAUUUUCGCUCUACAAUUUGGCAUCACUAGUCUUUCUCUUUGGACUCGAAACUGGUUUGGUAUGCGAAAAGUUUGGGACAAAUUUAAAGGGUUAUCUUCCUUUUUUACAUACAUAUAAUAUUAACAUUGAAAUGUUAUGAACGCGUGACAAAUAAGUUUUUUUUCAGAUGAUCGUUAUAAAAUAGAUGAUUUAUGACUUCGGUAAGUAAAUUUAAAUUGUUGUGUGAUCUUUACUUGUUGAAUCAACUUUUAGACAUUAAACAGAUAUGAUUUCACUUUUAAAAAUUCUUGUGAGAAAACACAGCUAAUUUUCAAAUUAAAGAAAUGUUUUUUUUAUACCAAAAAAACCUUGCCCUGAAAAUGUUUUAAGACUAUGGAAUGGAUGGGCUUUUUGGGAAGAGUCCCCACUCAAUCUUCCAAAAUCCAAAGAAUUGAAUUUCUCUUUAUAGAAAGCAAAGGGAGGAAUUUACUAGCUGACCUCCUCUGUGGCUCGUGUCCAUCUAGGCUAUGUGCAAAGGUAGAUCUGAGCAGUCUGUGACCCUUAAUUUAAUAAGAUUGUUUUAUGGAUCUACAAAAUAAACUUUGACUUGCCGCUGAUUUGCCGGACACUUAGCCCCCCUCAAAUAUUUAUCUAAUGCCUCUAAACAAUCUUAUAACUCAUACCAACCUGUGCACUUGCUUCAGUUCUCACUAGCUCCACUCAUUUAAUAUUGUACACCAACGUAGAGAAACAAACUUUCAUUGUAUUUUGCGGACAUGAAUUUAGUUAAGUUAGUUAGAAUGAAUGUACUCUCUAUUCUACAUCCGAGUUCAAAAUUCUUUAUAUAAUUUAGAUUAGUUUAAAGUAAAUUAUCAUUUAUAUUUUAAAAAAAUAAAUUUCAUUUUAUUUUUUUGCAGAACUAAAACUUCAAUAAUGCAUACUAAAUAGAAACAAAUACGUCAACGAGAUCUAUUCUAGUAAAAAAAUAUUGUAAUUUAUAAACAAGUGGUCUCAUGUCCAAACCUCCAUGACACAUUGACAGUGUAUGUGAGAAAAUCUCCGUUCCCUUUAACUUUGCCCUAAAUAAAAAAGUGCAUCUUAAUUACCCUGUUCAAGUCUUGUGUUUAUGCACUGAAAUGCUUUUGUGGGGUUAAAAAUGGCAUAGUUGAAGGCAGAUUUUCAACCUUAAUUAUUGCAGGGUUAACAAGCAUCCAAAAGCUAAAAGGACAGAUACUGCUUUAACAUAGAUUUAACUAAGAAUCGUAAUCAUAGCAGUAAAUAAAUAAAUAAAAAUGAAGAAUAAUAAAGUAAGAAAUAAAUAAAUAACUAAUUAAUUAAUUCUCAUUAAUUAAUUGGGUGAGCUCCCUUUGACAGGUAAUUAUACAUUUUGUGGGGCCUUGGGUGUGAGAAUAUGGAUGAUUUGGGACAGAGAAUCAGGGAAAGGGAAUCCCUCUACAAAUGGGGCAAUUCUUCUCUUCUCUUCUCUUCUCUGCACUCUUUUAAAGAAAAAUCCACAUUCCACCACAUCCUCAAGGUGAUAUUGGUAAUUUCGCUUCCUCCAAUUUGGUUCUAAUGAGCCAAUCACAUUUCAGUUCCGUGACGUGGCGGCACGGGAUUGGGUACCCUUGUGCACCUUGCCAGAGGAGAUUGAACCCUUGAAAUAAAUUAAUGGGCUUUUUUUUUUUUUCCUUCUUUUAAAUAUAUGGAGGGGCUGACUGGGGACACAUGCAUAAUUUCGGAAAAUAUUAAUAUCCAAGGGAGUCAAUUUCGGAAGUAAAAAGAAAAAAACAGGAGGUGAGGUGUGCGGCCCGCUUUGCCGCGUUACUCUGUGUCGGUGGGACUGGAGAGAUGACGUGUCGGGCAGAGGUGGACAGGUGGGAUAUGAGAGAUGUGUGCUUAACGCAGAGAAUCACUGCCCCGAGUCACAAGUGUGAGCGGGCGUUGGCGCUGUGCGUUUUGUUUGUUUGUUGUGGCGGUGGGGCGAAAACACGGAAUUGAAGAGACUGAUGACCCACGGGAGUUUAAAAAACGCUUAGACCAAAAAAAAACAAAUAACAGUAAAUGAAAGCGUUGUCAGGUAAGCGUACAUAGCACAGGACGCGUUUUAUUUCCUUGUCACGGACUGAGGGAUUAACUGCGAGUCGGCGUCCCUAUCCUAUCCAUGACGGAUUAGGUUAUUAGGGUUUGCUUGGAAUUAUUCACAGGUUGUGAACCAUUUUUUACAUUGUGGUAUAUGAGAAUUUUCAUAUGAACAUUUUCUAAUCGUCACGUGUGUGAGUUUUAAUUGUCAGAACCGUCUAUUUUAAGAUUAUCAGUUGUAUAAGAAAUUUAGUUAUCUGUCUGCGGUCAAAAUUAUUUACCAAAUUUUAUAUAUCUAUGCUACAUUUGUUAUACUAUAUCACCAUGUUAUAUAGUGGGUUAAAAUUUUAUGUAGCUAUUGUUACCCCCUUUCCUAACUAGUAUCACAAGUUUCUCUUUCGUUUCUUGGUUUGUUGUCCUAUACGAAUUGAAUUUGUGUGGCAUCAUUUUUACUUUUUGCCAACAACUCUUUGGUCAAGAAAGUUGUGUUGUUGAAUUGGAAGAAAGAAAUUCAAAACAAAAAAGGAAGAGCACUUUGAGCUCUUUAGCUUAUAAUCAAAUGUUGAAUAGAAAGAAAAAAACAAGAAGCGUUACCUUUAAAUAUUUAUUUAUAUGGGUUUGACAUUGACAUCUAGAUUAUGAUAGCUUGAGGGGAAUUGGAUGCUCUUCGUGUCUUGAUAAAGUUGGAGAAAUAUCAAUAUCUCUUCAAAGUUGCAACGAUUCGUCAACAUUUAUUUUUGUUUUUAUACGCCAACGAGGUCUAGUUAGUUAUCAAAAGUAAAAAAUUAGGUUUGAACUUUUAUGACUAGUUAUGUAUGCAUGAAAAAUCUUCGUCCUUUUUAAUUUAAACAAUCACUUGCCAAUAUAAUAUCGUAUAGGUUGUGUAAGAAAACAAAAUGAUUCAGUACUUUUUUGGGUACUUUUUUUUUAUACUGUAUUUAAAUUUAACAUUAUUUAUAUACUGAUGUCAUGAUUCAGUAAUUUUGAUGCAAUAAAAAAGGAAGAAAAAAAGACAAACAAUGUAUAGAAUACGACGAUAAUAAGCUGGGCAGUGGCCACCUUGCUCAAUCCUUAAUCCUCAAUCCUCAAUCCGCAUGGCAUGGCAGAAAUGGGGCCCUAGCAGAAAGCAGCACCAUGCUUUGCCUAAAAUGCGUCCGUACCAAAAUCUAUACAAUUUGUUCAAUAUUAUUAAUUGAAAUCCAUUUUGCAUGAUUGUCUAGUUCUAGCUUUAGUAGUAAACUUGUCCAAGGCUGCGGCCUUCCCUCUGCCACGGUGGGGUUGCUUUGCUCCCACUGAAAAUUACUCAUCAUUUUAUACUCAACGUUUUUGGAUUGUGCCUACUCCAUUCAUAGAUAUUUGGUGGGGUUUUUUUUUUCUUUCCAUAUUUGUUAAUGGAAAACAUUUAACUCCUUAAAUGAGUCAUUUCUUCUUCAAAUUACGUCUAAAUUUGACAUGUUUUUAUUAAAUUAUUUUUUAUAUUAGGAUAUUCAAACUUGAAUUCAGAGUGAUAAACACAUUCGUUCUAGUCAAUUUGACUAAAUUCAUAUCUAUAUGAAUUUAUUUAUUCUAAAUUAUGAAAAAAAUGAAGUGGGGCGACACAUACAAUAUUACUCAUGAAUUCAUAUUAAAAGAGAUACCACCAAACUAUAUUAAAAAUAUUGAUAAUUGAUUGUGUAAUUCAAUUCAGGGACAAAAAAACUACCUUAACUUCGAAGUUUAAACGCACAUUUACACUAGUUUAUAUAAUAUUUGCCAAGUAAUAAUAAAUGCAUUCAAAAUACAAAAAGUAUCUUAUCUUGAUGAUGACGAUGUACUGUUUUCUGCUUAAAUGAAGUAACAUGGUUCCUAUAAAAAUAAAAAAUAAAAAAAAACUUAUGUCCAAACAAAAAUUUAAAAACAAAAACAGAGUGUAGAUCUUGUAGACUUGUAGGGGUCAUAAUUAAUAACAUUGAUAAAGGUGUUAAUCAUACACAAGUUUAUGGUUAAUUACCAAUCCUAAUGUUUGACUUCAAUAUUUUUAAUUAAUGACAUUUUGAAAAGAUUUUUUGGAUUGGACUGGAUGGGCUGCUGUCCUUCGGUCAAAACAUAUCACGUGAGGUCGGUGUGUUUCCACAUUAGCCAAUUCACAUCAACCAUUUGACUUAAGUAGUAGGCAGAACCCCAUCACAGCUAUGUUUACAUUGAAACAAACAAAAAAAAGCCACAGAAAAAAACGAUUUUGCUAUAAUUAUGGCUAUAGUAGCAGUAAUGACAAAAUAAUCAGCCAAAUGGUGGACCACCUAGGGUAAUUACCAUGGUCUUUACUUUAGUCUACCAAAAAAUAAAAGUAAAAAUUAAAAAGUCAACCAUCCACCAUGCAUUUACUUGUAAAUUUGUAAAACUAAGUUCAUAUAUGCAGAUUUUUCAAUAAGUAUUUUAUUUUAAAAAUUUGUUAAAAAUUUCUAAUCUGAACUUUGUAUUGCAUAUAUGUUGCACAUUAAAUCUACCAAUACAUCUAAUGAAUACAAUCCAAUGAUCGAUCGAGAUUAAAAAUAUGUAAUCAAUUCUUAAUUUAAAUACUUAUUGAAGAAUCUCUCAAUUAAUAAAUUAAUAUUAUUUGUAAUUUGUUUCCAUUAUAUAUAUUUUAGAGUGAUGAUUAGUGUGUGUGGUCAGUGAGUGUUACGUUAUAUGUCAAGAGGGCCAUGAUUUCAUGAUAAGAUAACAUACAAAUCAUCGAAAAUGCUCAAAACGCGGUAUUUUGAAUAUUUGUAGUUGUCGUUUUGAAAGGUAAUUAAUUAUUGUGUUAACAAGAUAUUUGAUUUGAUGUUUAUGUCGUCCUCCACUGGGGAAGAUUCUCUGGGUAUCGCUUAUAUCCACCCAUCUGUAAAGCACUAGCAGCAUGCCAGCCAUUAUAAUUAAUUUUACUCGUCAAAUUAAUCAGUUCAAGACUAAAACUUACUUGCUUGAAGAUUAAUUUAACACUUGGGGUUUGAUAUAUUUUCAAUUGUAGCUUCUGUUAAAAGUUAGGGUUUGAGAACACCUCAAGGGUGGUCGGUUAAUUAUCAUUCAGGCACGGAGGGCACUAUAUUGUGUUCUCUUUAUUUGUAAUCCAAAAGGCGAAGUAAAAUCAUAAAUCGAAAGAAAAUUUAUUUUACCAAGUAUAUAACACUAAUGUGGAGGGAAGAAAAAAAGGUUACAUAUUUUCACUUUUAAUUCAAUUUAACCACUAUAGUUUAAACAUGGGCAUAUGAUUAUAUCCUGACAAAAGUCCAACACAAGCCACUCAAAACUGAAAUUUGAUUAGACAUGCCCCAACCCAGGCCUCACAUCACUUGUCUUAUUUUACAAUAUCUAAAGAGAAUUCUUUCCACCCAAACCCAACUUAUUUUUCAUGUUCCAUUAAAAACCCAACACCACUCUGAUUAAAAUUCCAUUUUACCUACUUCUAAUUAUUAGUAGGCAUUUCAUUGAAGGAGCCCACCCCAUCACCCCAACACAAACUUAUCAAUACUUGGUCAUUUUCAUGUCGACUAUAUGAUGCUUUUGACAGCAAGCAAUGUCUCGUUUGUAUACUUAUAAUCCCUUUCCUUAUAAAAAGUAGACUAAAACCGCAAAAAAGUUUCAAGUGUCUCACUUUGAGAGCCAUAAGAAAUGAACCGCACAAAAUUAAUCACAGCCAUGGCAAUAUGGCAUGUUGGAAUGGAUAAGCUUAAGCCCCACUGCAUGUGAUGGCUUUAAAUGAGGGCACUUUGAUUUCCCAUCUUGGUGAUUUGGAUGAUGAAGACAUAGCCCCAUGCUCAGCUUGAAUUUGAUCAUGCAUAAUUCAUGCACCAUGUGACCUCUCCACAUCACUUCUUGCUCAUAUAUAGCUAGGUUCACUUCUAUCUUGAUUCCUUGAUCUAAACAUACAAAAGAUUUGCAGUAAUAAAUAAAACUAUUUUAAGAUACAAACCACUUUAAUAAGUCAAAUUUGAUUGGAUAAUGAAGGACUCGAUCGCUUGAUAACACUUUCGUUUUUCCCGUUCAAUGUGUCAUUUUUAAAGAAAGAGAUAUAUAAAAGAACAUAGAAAAUGAUAUAAAAAGGAUGGGAGAAUAACGGAAGCAUGAAAAGAAGAUGGAGGAAUGAGGGUUAAAAGAACAAUAACUCAAUAAACAAGAAAGAGAAAUAUUUUAGUUUUCGUUCUAUGUACUAUUUCACGUAGAUAUUCUUCUUCUCAUAUAUAUUAUUUUAUUUUCACUAUCUUUUCAAAAAAAUAAAAGAAUCAUGUUAGGGAGACCAAUUUUAGAUACCAACUUGUGUAUCAUUUCUCUAAUAGAGGUGGAGCCCACCAAUACAAUGGAUCACACGCUCUAUUAGAAAGAUAGUACACAAGUUGGUAUCUAAAGUUGAUCUCCCUAGCAUUUUCUUAAAUUAAAAUUGAAAUUGUUAUUAAAGGACGCUAAUUUCAACGGUAGAACACUUUACGCUACACAUAUGGACAAAAAUUGGAAUCUUGCUUUCCUCUACCCUUCAAUCGAAACAAGAAGAUACAGUUGAGAGACGAAUAGAAAAAAAUUCGCAGGAUUUUUUCUUGAUGUACAAUACAAAUACAAAACAUUUCUCAUCACAGAAAAACGCCCAAGUUACGAUACGACUUAUUAGAUGUCAACAAUCGAAUCUGCACUGCCUGGUAUCAAUCACAUUUUGGAUCCACCUAAAUACCCAUCUAAUCAUGCAAGAUAAACGGACAAAAGGACAUAUUGGAUUGGGAUCAUUUUAGACGGAAUUUUUUGCCACCACAAAUUAAACCAUGCAAUGUCAAUACCAUUCUUUCAUUGACCACCUACAAGUUUCUUUGCCUUGUGAAUGCUACGUGAGUGAUGCUGCUCACGUUGAGAUUGGUAGCAUAAAUUGUUUUAGAGCAAAGGGUAGCAAUCAUGUCAAGUCAAAUUAUGUUUAUUAAGGAACUAUCGAGUAUUAAUCAAUCUUAAUAUGUCUUGUCUAUUUAAUCAUGAAUAGAGAUUAACCCGACUUGUUAGUUAAGUAUCCUCAAGUGGCACAUGUAUCUGAUUAAGAUUUGUAAUUUUUUUUAGUAGAUAAUCGAAGUGUGAGUAGAUAUAUUUUUGUAACAUGUUUGUAUGGAUCAUUUGUGUUUUAUGCUGAGGAUUCUUGCAUCACCUAACAUGUCUAUGUGGUGUGGUGUGGUGUGUAUCGAAUUCACCAAAUUAUAGAGCAUAUACAAUCAUUUUUUAAAAUAUAUUUUAAAUGACCAUAAUGCUUUAUUAUUGCUUCUACAUAUGUUAUAAUAUGAAUGGAUUUAAUACACUGUAUAGGCGCACCGACUUGGUAUAUUAUAUACAAUGACGUAGUCGUUAUUUUUUUGUUGAAGUGAUAUUUUAACUACUCUAAUGUGCAAGGAAGAGAAUCGAACUUGAGUAUAAAAGGGCGGACACACUAACCUUACUCAACUAGCCUGACCCGCAUUGCACAAUAAUGUAGCAGUUGAUUGUGUCAUCUUCACUUGUUAAUUUGGUAUGGAAUUCUUAUAUCCCGUUUAAAAUUGUAUCCAAAAAGCUGGACCGUCCAUGCCCCAAGUUCAUUGAUAAGGGGCAUGAUCUUGUAGCCAUAGUCACGUUACUCUCUGCUUAGCUAGUACUUGAUUGUCGUGCUUACUUAAAAUUCCAACUCAAACCAAAUCCUUUCUGCAUUAAUUACUUAACCAAUUUUCAUCUAACAGAUGUCAACAUUCUAUACAUUCAAAAAUGGAUGCAACUAUCGACAUUGAGACAAAAUUGAAAUUGAGGAAUUUAAAAAUAAAUAAAUAAAUAAAAUUUUGACCUAGAUAAAUACCAAACAAUAUUAUACGUGUUAAGAAUUAUUUUUCCUGUCAACCAAACGAAGCACUGCAGUAUUGUUCUUUGGUUGAGUUCCUGAAUCUUGUACGUAAGCCAAGCCAAGGUCCAUUACAGACAAACUGGAAGACAGAAAAACUGUAGGAUCAAAAGCGAUUUCCAAAAGCUAAAAAAUACAUGCAUAUUGCUUGUUUAAAUAUGAAUCAGAAAUCCUUUUCCGAUACCCUACGUAGCUGUUUGAUUGUUUCUAGUCUUUUAUUUUCUUGUAGGUCCAUCAACAAACACAAUUAAUUUAACAUCACUAUUUUCUUCCCUUUUUUGUUUCUUGUUCAUCCCAAACUUGAGACAUUUCAACAAAACGCAUCAACCAAAUUAUAAUUAUAAUUAUUUAACAAAACAGCCCGUGAUAUAGCCUCACCAAGUUUUGUUUGAUCAGUUGGGGGUUGAGAUGAGUCUAAUAAAUUGCCCACUAGACUUCCAUUCCAUGGCAUCUCAAAGAGAAUAAUCAUUUGGUUGAGACUGAGAGUGGGACAGAUAUAAUAACCAAAUUGUAUUUGCACCAACCACUUGCGCCUUGGCCAAUGUUAUUAUUAUUAUGAAUGAGAAGGAAAGGGCAAAAUUAACGGAUAAAUUAAGGACCACUGUGAUCACUGUAUUAUGGUAUGAACGAUCCACCAAAAAUAGACUCUUUACAAGUCACUUAUAGACUGUGGCUUAUAUUCAUGUUCGUUACAGACAAUCCGUGAUUAAAGGGUGUUGGUCAUAAAUUAUGUGAUUAUUGUAGUUAUAGGUGUUGUCAUUAAUUUUAUGCCCCUUGUUCUAGUAGUUCUUUUAGCUUCAGGUUCUGCAAUUAGUUCUCCAAUGCUUCCAGAUUUAAAUCUGUUUGACAUUAAUAUUAGUUAAAAACAAGUAUGAUCGUUUGAAAUUAGCAAAAAAUAAAAAAACAUUUGGGGUGAGAGAGGCUCGAACUCUCGACCUCAGGAUAACUCAGAAGCUAUGAGACCUACGCGCUAGCCAACUGCGCCACCACCCCUCGAUGUUAUUUUCUGUCCAAAACAUUCUAAUUAUUCGCUUCAACAGGUCAAUCUAGACUCAUCUUGAUUUCAGCAUAUAAGCCCUUUUAGCCCAACGAACUUAGUUGAAAAGCACCAAAGUCAGCCCAUAAAGUUGGUUACUGGGGCUAUAUAAUUCUUGGUGCUAUCUCUUCUAUAUUAAUGGGCCUAAUGGGCCUAUUGGAUUGCUUUUAUCAAAUAAAUUUAUUUUGACCCAAAAAGGUAACUUGAUAAUAAACUACUUAUAUAAUUCAUAAAUUAAAAGGAAUUUUAAGAUCGUUAUUGAAUAUGACUUGACGAAGGCAUCAAAGAAAUCUUGGGAAACUCUAGCCCCCUUUCUUCCAAAAAAUAUUUUUAGAGCCUUUUCCACUUUGAGGGGGGAGGAAGCCAUUGUUCUUCCUCUCUCUCCCCUCUUCUCUUCCUCUCUUCCUCCUUUCACCUCUUCCCCCAUUUUCAGAGACAAAGGGUUUUUCCUAUUUGUCUUAGUUUUGUUAUGAUUUUCAUCCAACCAUUAUAGGCGGCUGCGGCUCAGCGUCGGAUCUUCACCUGCAUUUCGGCGUCGGAUCUCCACCACCAUCUUUUUUGCAAUUUCUUUAUGUUUGGAAUAAGUUGCAUAGACUCUUUGGGUUAUCUGUAUAGUUUUCACCUCUCAUUUUGUGAGAGUUUUUCAUCUCUCCUUUGUGAGAGCUUUUCAUCUCUCCUUGGGGAGAGUUUUAUUUGUAUUGUUCUGGCUUAGUUUUUUCAAGCUUUAUCUCUUUUCUAUUAUUCUAAGUUUGCAAUCUUAGUUGGGAUGCCUAUGCCAGAGUUUCUUCGAUCUUGCCUGAUCGUUAGUGGAAACAUACCUGAUUUUCUUAAUUUUGAUAUUAGACCGCUCCGUUAUUGUAAUGGCCCUUUGUGGCUAGUAACUUUUUUGGCUGAAUUAUGAAUGCAAUAAUAGAAUUUCUCAACAAAACAAAAAAAGAUCGUUAUUGAAUCAAAAUUAAAAGGACCCUAAACCUCCUUAGUACCAAAAAAAGUAAUUAUAGUGGAGUAUUGGAAUACAGCCACAUGAUAACUCAUUCAUAUGUUAUUCACUCAUAUUGUGUAACAUGUGGACGGGUUAUAUCAUAUAACUAUGUUGCAGUAUCAUAUAAUAAUUUCUUCACAAAAAGAGAUUGUUAACUACUAUAAAUUAAUCUAAUUUAUAGAAAAAGGAAAUCGAACUCAAUGCAAAAGUACGAACAUACUAUCUUGACAAACUGGCUUAAUCCAGGUCGUACUUUUAAUUAAUUUGAAGUAUGUAUAAUUGAGAAUGGUAGAGUGAGUUUGUAUCCAAACAAAAUCUUGAAAUUAUUGGGUCACAACGUUAAUUCCUCCCAAAAACGUAGCGUUGGGCCCACUGUUAUAGUUAGUUCAUCUAUAAAAAGGUUAGUGACAUCCCAACUUGCCUAACCAGACUUUUCUGCUCCUAUUAAGUUCGUUAGUCAGAAGAAAAAAUUACAUGCAACGAGGCGUUAAGGUCGACAUGAGCAAUGGUUUUGUGGGCUCUAAUGACCUACAUAGACAGUGUUUUGGAUUAAAGUAUUAAAAUUUCAUUGGAUUUUCUUGUAUUAUUUCUGAUUUCAAGUAGCAAUGAUUCAUAAAAAAACAACAAUAUAGAAGUCAAAAAAUAAAAAAUAAAAAAUUGUUGCAAGUAUUUAUCUUGUUUAUGCAUUAAAUUUAAAUCUAUCAGGCAUAGCCUCUUAUUUUAGAUUUUUAUAUAUUGAAGUUUGAAUUUAUAUAAUUUAUUUGUCAUGAAUGGGAAAUUUUUAGUUAAUUUGAAUAAGUUAAAUCUUGAUUGAAAAAUGAGAGUGAGUUUAGCACUUAAGUGAAAAAACAUAUAUUUGAAACUUGUUGGAAGCACUUUGUGGUCAGGGAUAAGCCAAACUCCGAGUAUGGAUUAAUUCCACUUUACGAGUGUGGGGACACCUCAUGAUAUUUACAAAAAAAAAAAAACAUAUUAUAUAUAUAGGGGCCCUGGUCAAUCUGUUAGUAGAAUAAUUGAACAAGAAAACCCUUAUUUAUUUAUUUUAUAUAUAUAUAUAAAUACAAACAAGAAAACCCAUUUUAUUUCUAUAUAAAAAUAAAAAUAAAUUUUUUUUAUAAAAAAAACCCUAUUUUAACUCCUACGGUACUUAUCAAUUUAGCAAUUUAAGAGUAAGGGUAUUCGGGUAAUUUUGGCAAUCAAAUAAAACCCUUAGGGGUCGUUUGGUACACAGGCUUGGCUUGGACUGGCUUGGACUAAAUUUAGUACCAUGUUUGUUUCAUUUAAUUCUAGUCUUAGAUGGGAUUGCUAAUACCGGGCCCACCAAAAACACCUCCUUAGGAGGGGACUACUAAUCCCAUGUAGAAAGGGAGGAUUAGCUAGUCCUAUAUUUACCAAUGUAUGAGAUGCAUAUAUUAUAUUGUAAUACUAGUAACAUAUAUUACUAUUAUUAUUAUUAUUACAUACACAUAUACUAUAAUGUACAUAUAUACAUGUAUAUACACAUAUACAAGUAUAUAUAUAUACACAUAUAUACAUAUAUAAUAUAGUAUAAAUACAUAUAGAUAUAUACACAUAUAUUAUUAUUAUAAUAUACUCAUAUACACAUACAUAUUAAUAUUAUAAUAAUAGCAUACAUGUAUACAUGUAUAUAUGUAAUAUAUAUUAUAUUAUAUAUUAAUGUACAUAUAUACACAUAUAUACAUGUAUAUAUAUAAACACAUAUAUACAUAUAUAAUAUAUAAAUACAUAUAUAUUACGUAUAUACACGUAUAUAUGUAAUAUAUAUUAUUAUAAUACAUGUAUAUAAGUAUAUAUACAUAUAUGUGUAUAUAUUAUACCCAUGUAUGUAUUAUAAUAUACAUAUACACACGUAUAUAGACAUAUACAUUAUAUAUUUAUACUAUAUGUAUAUAUAUAUAUAUUAUAAUAUACAUAUAUACACGUAUAUACAUGUAUAUUAUUAUUAUAACAUACCCAUAUAUAUUAUCUAUUAUAAUAUACAUAUGUAUAUGUAUAUGUAUUAUACCCAUGUAUAUAUUAUAAUAUAUAGAUACACCUAUAUACAUAUAUAUUAUAUACAUGUAUAUAUGUAUAUAUAUAUGUAUAUUAUAAUAUAUAAUAUAUAUACAUAUAUUAUACAUAUAUUAUAUAUACAUAUGUAUUUUAUAAUAUAUAUAAUAUAUGUAUAUAUACAUACAUAUAUAAUAUACAUAUAUAUACGUAUAUAUGUAUAUUAUUAUUAUUAUUAUUAUUAUUAUUAUAACAUACCCAUAUAUAUUAUAUAUUAUAAUAUACAUACAUAUAUAUAAAUAUAUGUAUAUGUAUUAUACCCAUGUAUAUUAUAAUAUGCAUAUAUACACCUAUAUACACUUAUAUAUAUGUAUGUACGUUUAUAUUAUUUAAAAUAUAUAAUAUUAUUAUAAUAUACUUAUAUACAUGUAUAUACAUAUAUAUUAUAAAAUACAUAUAUACAUAUAUAUAGAUAUUUUUGAAAAAAUAAAAAAAUUAUAGUCCUAGUCCAAGUAUACACCAAACGCAGGAUAAGUGUUAUCCAACUUAGACCAAGCCAAGCCAAGCCAAGCCAGUCCCUAAGCAUAGUCCAUGCCAAGACAGUCCUGUGUACCAAACGAGCCCUAAUUCUUUUCCCCUUCACUGUCAUAGACGCUCACCUUCCUCUCCGACUCUCUGUAUUCUAUCUCCCUUUCUCCAUCUCUCUCUACAUUGCCGCCGGCGGCCAGAUUUCAGCUUCUUCUCUUGUCCUAUGUGCUUUGCCCUUUUUCUACGCUCGCUCUGUAGCUGUAGAAGUGUUUCAUCAAUUGAUAGCAAUUUAUUGUACUGAAUGAGAGAGAAAGCUUUGAUCAAAGAUGUUUUAUUUAUUUGUUUUCUUCGACUCCUUGUAAGAUUUUUUUAGCCAAUUUUUGUGUGUUUACAUGCUGUGUCUGAGCACUUUUGGAAAGCACGAACGAGCAAAAACUCAAUGCUAAUUGCAAAAACACGACACAUUGCUAUUCAGCUGAUGUAUACUGAACCAGACCACAAGUUGUUGUAGCAAUCAAUACAAUAUAACACUGUUGCUAAUUAUAAACAAUUUCAAAAAAAAUCCAUCUAACCAUCGCAUUAAUUCAAAGGUUAUUAAUGAAAAAAAUGUGAACUUAAGAGUCACAGAGGAAAGCACCAAACAGAUUAAAAAAGGGGCUGCUAUGAAAAUUUAUUUAAGCACACCAGGGGAGGCUUUCAACAUCUAUUUAAGCACAUGCUAAGGGUAAAAAAAUUUGAAUUCGUGUGCUAACACUAGACUGACGUCAGCUCCCCUUCGGGCUCGAGUUCGGGCCAAAUUUGUCUUCAGGCCAGCCCGACUUCGUGAGACCUAGAGGUGGGCAUUGGGACUGGAAAACUGGAACACCGAACUGAACCAGUGAAAAAAAUCUGAAAAAAAAUCGGUUGACCAAAAAAGUCAACAAACCGGACCGGAACCAGUUCUGGUUUUACACCCCACCCCACCGCACCGGAUCGGACAGGUCAUAUAUAUAUAUAUUUACAAUAUUUUAAAAUCUAAUGCCAUAUUUUAAAUUUUAUAAUCACUAUUUUUCCAAGUUCAACUUCAAAAAAUUUAUAAAUGUAUGAAUUGGAUUAUUUGUUAAUUUUUAAGCCAAAAAAAUAAGUUAUUUAUUAUUAUUAUUUUCUACAAAAAAUUAAAAAAAAUAUUUUGUUUUUUUUAAAAAAUAAAAAAAAUAAAAAAUUAAUAAUCCGAUUCAAAACCGAAACCGGUCAGAACCGAACCGGCAUGUUUUUGAAAUUUUUUUUGUCUAAACUGGACUGAUUAAAUAGUAUCGGUUCUGAUUUGAGGUGAGAAUCGGAUCGAACCAGACCGCGCCCACCCCUAGUGGGACCCACACCCAGCCCGAAAGGCAUUUUUCUUCUUGGGCCUCCCCUUGCCCCAGCCCGAGCGCAACGGUGGAAUUGCUCUAAGAGCUGGACUAGGUAGGCCUAUAACCUCAUUAGGUAGGCUUAAUGUAGUCCAGCCCAAAUUAAGACCCAAAAACACGCGAGCACCAGGUCUGCGUCUUCGUUGUUUCAACCGUCAAAUCGUCGAGCUUGUCUUCACCAAACCUACGAUUUUUGCUCAAAAUCAUAAGUAGGUACGAGUACUUGUCUUUUUAAAUAUCAGCUUCUCAGAUAGUUCCCCAAAUACCCAUUAACUAGAAGGCGGGGCAUUUUGAAAAAGGUCAAAGGAGAGAGAAAUCUUUUUAAAGAGCCAAAAUGGACAAAAAUGCCAUUAUUUAUUUUUGGAUUUCCUAAGGAAUUCUUUACACUUGCAUGUCUUUAGUUUGAAGUUGAAAGGUUUUUCUGUAUUUUUAAGAAAAAUUUUGACUUUUUCCAAAAGUGAAAUUUUUUUUUUAUAGCUAAAACAUAAAUUUACUUUUGUGUUCAAUCGUAGUUUGAAGAGGAGCAGCAGCCAAAAUCUGAGGUACCCUUUUCUUCCGAAUUUUUUAUUUAAUUUCGAAUUUAAAAUUCUAUCAAUGAUGUUAAAUUUCCUAGAAUAUAAAGCUUUUAAAUGGGCUUUUGAAGGCCCAAACAAUUUUAUACCCAGCAAAGAUUCUUGUGCAGCUCUCUCUGGGUCACUCACGUUUUGAACUUCUUCCAGGUCCCAUAGGAACCCCCUCUUCUUUCUCCAUUCUUUUAGCUUGCUGCUGUCGCGCCGGAGCUGCAACUACCCGGUUAGUAUUUUUUAUUCAUAAUCACUCCCUCAGAAGUUUAUGCUUGAUUUCUUGAUGUUUUUCCCUUCAAUUCUACAUAUUUUAUAUAAAGAGUUUACUGGGUUUUCUUAGAUCAACUGUACCAACUUGAUGGAGUGCGUGGUUCAGGGAAUUAUAGAAACACAGGUAAGUACUUUGAUAAUGUGGGGGUUGGGUUAGGCUUACAUUUUGUUAUACAAUUUCUGGAAAUGCCUCUAAAUUCUGAUCACUUGAUAGCACACCUAUGUAUUGCUGCUAGGGGAGAAAGAUUGAAUCUUCUGCUUAGAGCUCACUUUUUGACACAUAUCUUCUAACCAUGUUUACCAAAUUGUUCAUUGGAGGCUAAUAUGCGAGAAAGGAAGAAAAUCUAUAUUUGGUUUUUUAUUGAGUAGUUUUUGUUUUCUUGCAUGUACAAGUUAUUCAUGAUUAUGGACUCUAUUUUGUUCACGAUUGGAAAUAGAUCCCUAAAAGAACCCCUUUUCCCCCAUCUGUGGUUAGUUGCUGUAGCUGCAUCUAAAAUAUGGUUUUCAUUUGCAGCAUGUUGAGGCCCUUGAGAUUCUUCUUCAGGGUCUUUGUGGUGUUCGCAGAGAAAAUUUGAGGGUCCAUGAGAUAUGUCUUAAAAGUGGCCCGAACCUUGGUAAUUCAUUUCUUUUCCUCUUUUCAUAUUGAGCUGUGUGGCUAGAAUAAUGUGCACAUUUUCUAUACAAUUAAGCCAAAGUCAGAAUAGUCAAUUUUCCUCUUUUAUGGACUCAUUUAAAGAGAUGUUGAAAGCCUUCCCUGGUGUGCUUAAAUAAAUUUUCAUAGCAGCCCGUUAUUUUUUAAUCUGUUUGGUACUUUUCCUCUGUGACUCUUAAGUUCACAUUUUUUCAUUAAUAACCUUUGAAUUGAUGCGAUGGUUAGAUGGACUUUUUUGAAGAUUUUUAUAAUUAGCAACAGUGUUAUAUUGUAUUGAUUGCUGCAACGACUUGUGGUCUGGUUCAGUAUAUAUCAGCUGAAUAGCACAGAAAGAAAUUAUUUUGUAGGCCGUCCUAGUAAUGAUCUUCCUUUCUAUAGGGGCUGUAGCUUCAGAGGUUCGACUUAUAUGCAAUCUUGAGCAAACUGAACCAACAUGGUAAGACUUAAAAACCUGCCUUGUCAUAUUUAUUAACACGUGGAAAUUUGUGUUUUACACAUACAUGUGAUUGUAUCUAUGCCAAAUUCUGAAUUUUGUAGGACCGUAAGGCAUAUAGGAGGUGCAAUGAGAGGUGCAGGUGCUGAGCAAAUUUCAGUUCUAGUAAGAACAAUGGUCGAAAGCAAAGCAAGCAAGAAUGUGCUUCGCUUAUUUUAUGCACUUGGCUACAAGUUGGAUCAUGAGCUUUUGAGGGUGGGAUUUGCCUUCCAUUUCCAGAGGGGCACACAGAUCACUGUGACUGUGUCAUCAGUUAAUAAGAUGCUACAACUGCAUGCCACAGAUGAGGCUGUCCCUGUAACUCCCGGGAUACAGUUGGUAGAAGUGACAGCCCCUGCUACAUCUGAAAACUAUACUGAAGUGGUAGCUGCAGUAUCAUCUUUUUGUGAAUAUCUUGCGCCGUAAGUUUUUUUUUCUUUUCCCUUUUUAUUUAUUUAUAGAAAAGCAUUAAAGCCCACCUACCUACACAUGCUUGUUGAUCUAUGCCUCAUGGCGAGGGGUCCCAGUGGUCCAAGCUUGAAAACCGAACAGACUAGUCCAUUCCACGCUUGAAAACCUAACAGACUAGUCCAUUUUUGUCUUGCAUAUCUAGUGGCUGGAUACCCUCUAUCAUCUUUUUCAUAAACAAGUCUUUAUUGGGUGAUCAGCGACGGUCCAAAGGGUCCCAAUUGAAUAUUUCUUGCACCGUUGUUGAUCAUAUUAUAAAUGAUGAGGCAUUCAAUAGUGCAUAUAGGAAAACUGUUUUUAAGGUUUAUGAUGACUUUAUAUUGAAAAUUUGUUUAUUCGACAACGUAUUCAUUCACCUGGAAUUGAUUUCUCAGGCUCCUGCAUUUGUCAAAACCGGGCAUUUCAACUGGGGUUGUUCCUACUGCUGCUGCGGCUGCUGCAUCUCUCAUGUCAGAUGGUGGGGGUACGACCUUAUAGCAGAAGUUGUAAAUUGCUUUAAGUAUCUCAUGUCAAUGUUGAAUGAUAUACAUGUAUCAUCUACAGCAAUCAGAACUGCUUGUCAAACUUCAUGUUAAUUCCCCAAAGUAGUUUUUCCAUAACUUGGAACUUUAGAUAGUUGUGUUGGUGACAGUUCCGCACAUGUAGUCGUGAUUGUCAAUGACAAUUACAGCUCUCUCUUUUCCCCAGGCAAUCUAUUCAAUACUAAAUGAAACAUUUAGCAUUUGCUAGUUAAAAGAUCAAAUGCUAAACUAGCCUGUGAAAAACGGCUAAGUUAGCCCUAGAUCAUUAGGAGUGUUGGCAUCGAGUAGGCGCUGCAGGAACGGUCGACUAAACCCUUCUUGUAAUGAUGCUAAAAAACUAAUUAUCUUUCAUAAAUGAAACCCAGUUAGUGAUAUUGUAUAUGCAGGCCUCCACUUUGUUGCCACUGACUUAUUAGCACUUUCUACAUUUCCACUCCAAACCACUUCGUCCAGAUCCCAUUGCAUUGCAUUAUUGCACUGCUUUUUAUUCGUCUUUUUUGUUUUUUUCUAGGUGAAGAGUUGAGUUCCUAGAGUAGCAUCCUAGAGUUCCAAUAAAGCCUAGAAUAAAGGAGGUAAAACAUAUUUACACAGAUCAUACACACUGAUUAUCAGAACAAUAAAUAAGUGCAGUCUUAAACUUGUUUCAAUAUGUUUGAUUUAUUCUGCUUGAAAGAAAGAUCCCUGUCUUUGUUAGUUGCCACUUGUAGCCACAUUUCCAUGCAUUGUUUGGACAUAAAAAAGUCUCGUUGAACAUGAUUAAUUGUCAUGACAUAAGAAACGUCUUUAACGUGAUUGCAUGACAUAAGAAACGUCGAGUGGUGUACAACAAUGGGAUGGGAUUAGGUGGUGAAAUUUAUCUAUUUGAAUUGAGAAAAAAAGGGAGGAAGAAACCUAAUCAACCUUGAUUUUCUAUGUUGCUUUGACAACCAUGACCAACUAUUUAACUACAAGAAUCAGGUUGAGUUAGUGUCGCUGUUGAACGGAAAAUUUUCACAAAAGCAAUUAGCCAAGAAUUUGACUUGGGUUAGAAUUGAAUUUGUUUUGUCCCUGCAAUCUUAUCAAGAAAAACAUAUAAAAAUAAAAUAGAUGUAUUUCAGUGGUUUUGAAACAUCAAGAGAUAAGCAUCUCGGUUGAGAAGUGGUCAUCAGCUUGAAUUCAAACUCAUCAUAAGAUAGCCUCUAUAAGAGGCAUAACACGAGGGGAGGUUGCAGGGACAAAAAAUAAAAGGGGAGGCUCCAGAAAAAAAAAAAAAAAAGAAAAGCCUGUAAGGCCGCAAGUCUUGGGGAGAGUUGCAGGAAUGAAGAGGAAGAGCAAGCACAUAAGAGGAUUCUUGGCUCUCUAUGGCAAGGCUUCGCUCAAAGACUUCCAAGGAUGCAUCCAGUACGAUCAACCCAUGGGGGUUCUUGGCUAUGAUGAUUGAAAUCAUCACGUAUUAAGUCAAGAAACUACUCUAAGGUGUACCUCUUCUCAAGUACCUCCAGGACAGCCAGCUAUGGACUGACAGCCAAGAUGAUUUCAAUCAGCAUAUAUUCUAUUCCAACAGGCAGCUCUAAUCAAAUGCUUUCAAAGAUGUGUCCAACCUCCAAUUCAACAUCAAUUCGUGUGGGCUGAUUGUGAUGGUGGGCAAAUCACCAAAAAAAAAAAAAAUCAGAACUGGUGCACAACUCUCUUGAAAAGGGGCAUAGAGGAAAUCCUAGAGUUCUCUAGGUUUCCCUUAUUGUGGCGCCACAAAAGCCAAAGCUCGUUCAAUGAUGUUCAUCAUGAGAUGGACAAACAGCAAAAAAAUAAAUCAAACUGAAAGAAUCAAAGGCAACAAGACAGUGAGAUUUCUCUCAGAGAUGCUUUGAGCAUCCAAACCCACAAAACAAAUCUUGGAUACAAAAUCCAUCAUGGGUGUGUAACCCUCAAUCAAACACUCUGUGACCGAUCCAAUCUGGGUACAAAACCCACAAACAAAACCAUGGGGUCUGGUGCAUACAGAGGCGAUGAACUGAAAAAAGGGAAGCUGAAGACAGUCACGCUUUUCUUUGGCAGCUUGGUGUUGUUGCAUACAGCAAGAACAAACAAAGACAACGAAGAAAAGGGGCAGCCAGCAGGCUGUGGAGAGACACCAAGAAAAAUAAAUAAAGCCAUGAGGCUUGGACAAACAUGGAGAAGGCACCACAGUGCUGAAGAAAAAGUGCACGGCAGUGAUGAGGGCAUAGCCUUGAGGAGGGAGGCAGUCAUGAGGCAGUUAAAAAAAGGGCUGCUGAAACAGAGCAAACCAAAUGCUCCACCAUUUUGGCACGCUCUAAUUGCAACCACAGAAAAUAUCUAUUUGCUGGCAGAGUAAAAAUAAUAAAUCAAGGCUGGGGUGUUCAACCCACCGUCAAAAACAGCCAACUAAGGAUCUUCAUCAUAAUCCAAAAUGAGCAAUGUUUGUGUGUAUCACAUGCUUUGAUCUUAGAUUGCCCCUCCAGCAAACAAGAGAGAUCACCCCUUCUUUUCGUGAGUGUCAGCCAAAAAGAAGAAAAAAACAGCUCAUGAAUUGUUAAAGGGCUCCAAGACAUGAGACGUGUCGACUCGUUGAUGUUUAAGAGGUCAACAAUUGGGUCUCUACCAACAAAUUGGUCAGCAAAUUCAGUGACAAUAAAGCUGCACCAAAGCAAAAAGAAAGAAAACAAAAGGAAGGAAAUAAUAUUGUUGUGGAGGAGAUGCCACCACGUGAAAGACCAAAACAAGAAAGCAGCAAUAUUGUUUUGUUCUCAUUUUGCAUGCAAGAAAUAAACAAGAGGGUGGAGUCUUAGAACUUCACGGCUCCAUAUUUACUCAAGACAAGUUCGAGACAAGUUCACGGCUUCACGGCUCAAAGCUUCACAGGCCUACUUACUCAAGACAGGUUCGGGAAAGCAAAACACUAAGGCUUCACUCCUGUAAGGACCUCCAUAAGUCCGUUUGCGAUAGGGUAGUUCCGCUCAAAUUCAAAGCUGAGUCAAUCAGGUACUGCUAAAUCAAUUGAGGUGGGCUUCAUGGGUUUGUUGUACAAAGUCACAAAGGUUAUGCAACAAGUCUAAGAGCCCAAAACACAAAUCUCAAGUCCGCAAAUGAUGGAUUAUGGGCUUAAAUUCCAAAAAUGCCCAUUAACUCUCAAAUCGUCAAGUGAAGACUCAAGUGGCACAAAACCACACCAGAUGUCAAGGGGCACAAAACCACUUCAAAAGCCACAUUAAGAAAUGUGGGAAUCAACCAUUGUUGCAAGGAAGCUGUUCAGAAAAGAGUGCCAAGUGACUCAACCAUGCUGUGACUAUGACUCUAGUCCAAAUAAAUUAUUGGUCAUGCGCGGAGCAUUAAGCUCAACUCCCAAAAGAUUUUAAAGGAGCAUCAAUAUGGAUUAAUGGGUUUUGUUGAUCAAAAAAGCCCAUUAAUCUCAAAUCCUCCAAAUCAUGCAUGGAUACAAACGCAUGUGUCAAUGAUCAAAUUAAAUUGGUGGGUUCAUCAAAAUUGCCCAUUAGUUUUCUUUGAUAUUGACAAAAAGAAAAAUGGUAUAAAACCAUCCAAUUUUCCCCAUGGGUCAUCUACCCAUGCAAAUUCCAAAUGAGAUUAAAUUCAAAUAUCUCAAACACAAAUUCUUAAUUAGUGGGCCACACUUACCCAUUAAUUUUUAAUUUUUCCCAUAGGUCAUCUACCUAUGGAAAUCUCCAAAUUGUCCCAAAGAUACAAAUUCUCAAUUAGUGGGCCACACUUACCCAUUAAUUUCUAAAAUUUGGAACUACGUCGGUUUGAUCCCGUUAAGGGUACGUAGGCAGUCUAACAUUCCAAUAGACGCAACCGCAAUCAAGUAUAAAUCUCUGGUUUAUCUUAACCAGAUUUCGCCAAAACACUUUCCCAAGUGCAAUUGUCAAUGUUUUAGGGAAAAUUAAUGGGAUAAUCAAAAUUACUCAUUAUUUUUCUUGGACAUUGACAACCAGAAAAGUGGUACAAAACCAUUCAAUUUUUCAUGGGUCAUCUACCCAUACAAAUUUCAUUGAGAUUAAAUUCAAAUCUCUCAAAUUCAAGUUCUCAAUUAGUGGGCUACACUUACCCAUUAAUUUCCAAUAUUUCCCAUGGGUCAUCUACCCAUGCAAAUUUCAUUGAGAUUAAUUCUAAAUCUCUCAAAUACAAAUUCUUAAUUAGUGGGCCACACUUAUCCAUUAAUUUUCAAAAUUUUCCCAUAGGUCAUCUACCUAUGGAAAUCCCCAAACGCAAUUGUCAAUGUUUAGGAAAAAUUAAUGGGAUAAUUAAAAUUACUCAUUAUUUUUCUUGGACAUGGACGACAACGAAAGUGGUACAAAACCAUCCAAUUUUCCAUGGGUCAUCUACCCAUGAAAACUCUAAUGAGAUUAAAGCCAAGUCUCUCAAACAGAAAUUCUCAAUUAGUGGGCCACACUUACCCGUUAACUUCCAAAUUCCGAACUACGUUGGUUUGAUCCCUUUGAAAGGGUACGUAGGCAAUCUAGAGAUUCAAUCUAGAUGCAACCAUCCCAAAUGCAAUCCCAUAUCGAAUCCCUGGUUUAUUCAGCUAAAUUCACUCAAACACUUCUCAAUACAAUUCAAAUCAAAUUUCCCUCGCAAUGAGUCAUUUCUUCAUUGCGAUUCUUUGAACUACGAGUGGCUUGAUUCCCGCAAGGGAUACGUAGGCAUCCUGAGGUUGGACUUAGGAGCAGUUGCAAAAUCAAACACAAACGUUCUGUUUCUUUAUGAUGGAAUCAAAGGGUGUUCUCUUGAAGCAAGGGAUUGUAAUUAAGAGACUUGCGUCUCGAAUGGGUCGAACCUAAAAUAAUAAAACCCCGUUAUUUAAUUAGUGGUGGUGAAAUUAUAUUAGGAGGAUCACAUUUUCCUUCAACAGUCGCUGUCAAAUUCGAUGCAAGUAAAUGACAUGAUACAAACAUAACAUAACUCGGGUCCUACCCCCAAUGUCUUCUGAACAGCUUAUCAAUGCAGGAUGCAUGUUUGAAUUAUGUUUUUAUGUGUGCCGCUUAAAUUAACGGUCAGGAAUUGUCCACACACAAUUAAUUUUAGUAAAAUUAUAUUAUUUUGUUUAUCUCUCACUGUACAUCUCUCUCUCUCUCUCUCUCUCUCUCUCUCUAAAAAGAAGACUAAUUGCAUAGCCACAAUCUACUAAUUACAAGAUUCCCCAGCCACGCUUGUUUACCUGCGAUCAAAGUAGACCUUAUUAUAGUCGUGCCUUGCCAGGAUCAUGAGUUCCCAUAUUUGCUUUGAGUAAUGCCAAUAUGAUAUAUCACAUUAUAAUGUGAAAAAAAAUAUAUUCCAUGACACUUUAGUCCCAAAUAAUGUUCAUAUAAUACAAUGCACAUAAACAUAUAUAAGAUGUGUACGUGUACAAAUAAAUGUACGUAGAUAUGCAUUACAUCACACAUAUCUGUAUGUCGGUAUAUACACAUGCAAAUGCAUGGAAUAAGUAAGAACUAAUAAUGAUCAAAGACAAAGGCAGCAACCACCAAAUCUUUCUCAAUCUGCGAUUUAAACAAAGUGCUGCCAAACAAAGUGUAGAGAUUUUCUGGUUUCAAAACAGAUUUCUAUUUCUUACACUCUUAAUAACUUACAGCAGAAUUUAUAUACACAUGGAAGGCUUGCUAAUCAAGCCUUGUAUUAAUUACAAAAGGUAGCAGGGGACAGCACAAUAGCUUUGUAUUAAUUACAAUAGGUAGCAGGGGCAGCAUAGUAGGUAUUAGGGGGCAGCUUGUGCAGCUGAUGCAAUUAAUCAUAUUUUGGCUUCUUUUGGCUUUUCAACUUCUGGAACUUUGCUCCCUUCUCCUAGAGUCAGCAGCAAUUAAUGCAAUCUCAAUACUCCCCUUCAAGUUGGUGCAAAAAUAUCACGCAUGCCCAACUUAUCAAGUGAGUCAUAGAAAACUCUACUUGAUAUGGCCUUUGUCAGAAUAUUAGCAAAUUGACUUUCUGAGUUUACAAACGGAAACUCAAUCAUACCAUUCUCCAGUUUUUCUUUGAUGAAGUGUCUAUCCACUUCCACAUGUUCGGUAUGAUCGUGUUGUACCAGAUUAUGAGCUAUUUCGAUAGCAGCUUUAUUAUCACAAUAUAGAUUUGUGGCUUUCAACUAUAUAAAUCUAAGAUCUUUUAGUAAUCUCCGUAACCAGCCCCUAAACUCAGCUUCAGCACUCGAUCUAGCCAGAACUCUUUGCUUCUUACUUCUCCAAGUGACUAAGUUGCCACCCACAAAUGUAAAAUAUCCAGAAAUAGAACGUCUACCUGUGAUGGACCUUGCCCAAUCAGUAUCUGUGUAUCCUUCUAGAUCCAUGUGUGUAUGUUUGGAGAACGUCAACCAUUUUUUAGGGGCAGUCUUCAAGUAUCUCAAUAUCCGUAUAACUCAAUUCAUGUGUGUCUCACUUGGUUGAUGCAUGAAUUGGCUUACCACAUUCACAGCAUAAGCUAUGUCGGGCCACGUGUGGGAUAGAUAAAUCAAUCUCCCAACUAAUCUUUGAUACCUUUCUUUAUCAGUUGGAGCUUGGUUUGGAUACAUCCCAAAUUUGUGAUUCUGUUCAAUAGGUGUGUCAGCUGGCUUGCAAUCUAGCAUUCUUGUCUCUGUCAAUAAAUCUAACACAUACUUUCUUUGGGAUAGAAAUAUGCCAUGUUUUGAUCUAGCAACCUCUAUGCCAAGAAAAUAUUGUAACUCACCCAGUUCCUUCAUCUCAAAUUCACUUGCAAGGAGCUUCUGUAGAGUCUGCAUCUCUUCACUGUCAUUACCGGUAACCACCAUAUCAUCUACAUAGAUGAUUAGGGCCGUAAGUUUUUUACCACGAUGCUUUAAGAACAAUGUGUGAUAUGAGUUACUCUAAGUGUACCCAAAGCGCUUCAUGGAAUUAGUAAAUCUCCCAAACCGGACUCGAGGUGACUGCUUUAGCCCAUACAUAGAUUUUUUCAACUUGCAUACGGUAUUGGGACCAAAUGUCAUAGGAAUCUCUGGUGGUGGAUCCAUAUAUACUUCUUUUUAUAAGUCCUCGUGAAGAAAGGCUUUCUUUACAUCAUACUGCAGUAGUGGCCAGUCAAGAUUCGCAGCCAAGAAUAUGAGAACACAUACAGUGUUGAUCUUGGCAACAUGUGCAAAUGUCUCCUGGUAGUCAAUUCCAUAUGUUUGUUUAUAUCCCUUGGCUACUAAUCGAGUUUUGUAUGGGUCUAUGGAUCCAUAAGUUUUGUAUUUAAUGGUGUAUAUCCAUCGAAGGUUAAGCUUGACUUAUUAUCAUAAAUUAUCUUUCUUUCCUUGUCAAAUUAAUUAACCAACUGAUUUGCUUUCUAAAGUGAGUUUGCAAACAACAAAUAAUUACUGGGCCCAAUCGCCAAUCAUGUACAUCUCCCUUUAACUCCAACCAGACUCACACAAAAGCUCCCCAUCAAGCCUGGACAAAUCAAUGGACACUUGUUGAAUUCAGACUGAAUAAUCUCCUCUUAAGUUUCCCCAACACUUCCUCUUCUGAUCAGGCACCAUUAGGUUUUCCUACUCCAAUCAAAACUUCUUAUUAUUGUAAAUGUAGGAUAAGUUUUUUGUUUAUGUUUUUACCUUCAAUGAAAUCGAAAUAGUUCACUUUAUUUUUAUGCUACGUACUACAUUGGGUUGAAAUCAAAUCAUCUUUUACAGACCAAACCAAAGUUUUUAUUGAUUAAUUAGAAGGAUUUCGGUUGUGAAAUCAAAAUCGAUGCAGUUGGCCCUCAAAAGGUUUCAAUCUCAUUCUUUUACUUCAGAAUUGAAUCCCUUUCGAGCCAACCAAAUGGGCUUAAUCCUUCAAGUUGAAGAUAUGUAAGACAUGCAUGCGCUUGAAUAGAAACCUCUCAAGCCCAUCAAGCUUCUGUGGAGCUUCAACAAGACUCAAUUUUUAAGUGUAAAAAAAUGAAGAAAUGGGCAUUACGUGGCAUUCCCCAUGCAAAUAACAGCUAAGCCCCGAAUUGAAAGAGAAAGUAAACAUACAGUGCAUUUAUAACAACAGCUGGGUUAGCAUUGAAAGCAUUUUCUAACUACUUCUGCCCUUAAUUUGAAGCAAAUCCUUGGACUGAGAGAGAGAGAGAGAGUAUUGUGUGGCUGGCUUGGUGGCACCACCACCUAUUCAUGCCCAUUUCCUCCUUCCCCACACUAGUAAUCUCUCACCCAUCUUCAUCCCCCACUUUAACUUUGUCAUUUUCAUCAAGCCACCCCAUGGCAAACGAUGCCGUUUUCAGGGCCUCUCUAGUUUGGUUGGCUGCAGUCAUAGUGGUAGUUGGAGUAUUCACACAGUCUUUCAAGAAGAUGAUGUUAACGUACGUGGUUGGUGUGCUGGGUAUUUCUGGGUUGCUCUUGCCCGAUUGGGGUUACUUUGACCGAGACUUUUCGAGGUGGACGUCUCCGGUUUCAGCCGAGGAAAGAGCCUCUGAAGUUGCUCAAAGAUCUGGGUUAAUUAGAAGGUCAGUUUUAUUUUUAUUUUUUGGGACAUGUGAGAUUUACUGGUUUUUCAAUUGAAUGUUGUGAUUUUGUUGUGGAAGAAUAUUAGUGAACAAUUGAUUGAUGUUUAUGUGUUUAGCUUAGGGUCAUCAUUAAGUGAUAAAACAUCAACAAACAAAAUUAGGGAUCGUUAUUUGACCCAUCGACUUAAGGUCUGUUGGACUAGAUCGGCCCAAAAUUUCGGCCGGCCUGAUCAUAUUUUACUAUAUUUCACAGCAAUAUAGUAAUUAACAUUUUUUUUGUUCUCACUUCUAUACGAUAACUUCUUUCUACACGAAUACAAUCUAAGUAUAUUUUAUGUAUGUAUGGUACAUCACACGUAUAUAUAUAGAGGGUUCUUUAAAUAAGUUUAUGUGAGCGACACUCUUAUAGAGUCCACCACAUUGUAUUUCAAUUAUCCAAAUUGUGUUUGCCUAUUUUAUUGAUCACAAGUGUAUUCAUGGACUAAAUUUAGGUAGUCCGGAGUGUUUGACUUAUAACCUAAGAGACAAUUCUCCGUUUUGCAGAUUUAGAAAAAAUCCUAUGAGAUCGGUUGCUUGUGCCACAGUUUAUGGGUUUGCUCUACGGAAGUGGUGGAUGUUCAUAUCAAGCUAAUGUCAAGCCAGAGAAGAUCAAUGGUGUUGGGGUACUUUCUAGUUUAUCGGUAUGUAAAUUAUGAAUGAUGACAGUUGCCAUUGCAAUAUUACUUUGGGUUCCAUAUAUAUAAGAUUUCCAAAUCCAAUUUACUUAUAAGAUAUAGCUCCAAUUUCCUCUUGGUUUGUAACAUGCUUAAUUUGGCUUAAAUUUGUGUUGAAAUUAAGGCAUGUUACGAAGACUACAUUUUUAUACCACAUGAUGUAGAAAGCGAUGUUUAUUUUCACAAUAGGAAGUAAAACUUGAAAAUAAAACAAGAACAAAAAGAAGAAAAAAGACUUUUAAUUAGUUGCAUGGUGCAACAAUUUUUAGUGAGGACUGGGUGAAUGAAUUGCUUGCAGAUAUGAUUGAGUAGAGAGACAGUGUGAAGAAAGGAAGAAGAGGUGACCUGACAGUAAUUAUAAGCACAAGAAGCGCAAAUGUUAUGGUCUAAUUUUUCAAGUUGUAUUUUAGUUUCUGUAAUCAUUCAUCAAUUAAUUGUUGUUUACAAAACCAAAAUCUAAAUAUUACAGUUCACAUUCCAACCCACAAAAUGUGGUAUAUAUAUGUUGUUUUUACCAUCGGCCACAGAUCGUUUCGUUUCUUUUAAUUUCUUUUGUCGAUGCUACAAGUUGAAGCAGGCAUGUGAAUGUGGCGAAGGCAAAGUAAUUUCAAAGUGAGGUGGGUUCGACAAAAGUAAAUUUAUUUUAACUUUCGGGGAUUAAAGUGUAAAAUAAACCGUGAUUAAAUAAAGAUAUCACCAAAGUUCCAUUCUUCUGGCUUGAUAAUCUUUGUUCAAAAUCUGAAAGACAACAACAAAUUGACCAAUGGACUAGGAUCCAACGCGGGUUAUCUGGAUUUCCAAGACACGUGUUGAUUUUGAACCUGACUUAGAUGAUACCGGUUUGAGGUUGAAUGUGCAGACAUCUCCAUUUUUGAGCUUGUUGGCUUCAUAAAACUUGUACCAUCCUUUUCUAGUAGCUAUACGAUGACUACCCCUGGUUUUGCUUUCCCACUUUACUUAUGAUCAGCGGCCAUGAUCUUUCAGACGGGUCUUUGAGAAUGAUUCUGGAUGUGGCCACAAUGCCAUUUGAUCUUGCAAAUUUUGCAGGAAAAGUCUGUCAUAAAACAACUACCAAAUUUAGAGAAAAUCAAAAAAUGAAAAAAGUUGUAAGGAUUGCAACUCAACCCUGAACAAACAGACCAAUUUCACAACUCUGCCAAGGGCUUUGCCACCAAAACUCCAGACUCAAGAAGUGUGCUUGAAGUGAACAUCAUGAAAUUUUUUAUCUUCAAUAAUAUGCAAAUAAUAACAUGACACACUUCAUACAGGCAAAGAGAAGUUAGAAAACUUACCAUAUAAGCAUGAAGAGGAUCCCCAUGGGUUUUACUCAUCGUGGUACUGAACAAAGUCCUUGAGCUUGAGGAUGCAGUUCCUUUUAAGGUUCUUUUUCCUGAAAAUAGUCCAAGGAACAACCCACAUUAGAUGCAACCCAACAUUCAUUAUAAUUAAGAGGGUGCAAUCCUAUCAAAAGUAAAAAUAUUGAGUGUAACCUGAUGUAAAUCUUGUGGGAAAUGAAGGCGAAUGAAAAUUAAUAUGCCACUGCCAUUCUUGUGUGAAAUGCAAGAGAAUUUUAAAUUUAACGCACCUUUGUAAUCAUGCUGGUGCUUGUCGCUCUGCAGUUCAUACUCUUUCUCACUACCAAGACUCAUAGGCAACCACAGUGAACACCAUUUUGCCUUUGUGUUCAAAUACUACCAUUUCUCCAAUGUUCAGGCCGUGAUGGUUCACAAAAACUUCCCAACCUUCUUCGAAAGAAAGUACUCCAUCAACACUCCUGCCAAGUCUCACACACCAAGAUCCCAAGCAGCUUUUAAUAACUGCUUUAUCCAGUUUCUUUUCACUCAGAGAACUACUGAAAGCUACUGGAAGUGACUGUUCAUAUGUAGAACAAAAAUAUUGGGUCACAAUCCUAAUCACAAUCCUAAUCCCAACUGAAGACAAAUUCAUAGUUGAACUCAAUUAUGUAUUUUCAAUCAAAACAUUAAAAUCUGUGUCAAACCAACUAGAACAAAAUUUAUGUAAGCAAUAAAUUAAGCUGCAAAUCAAUAUACAUCAGAAAUCAGAAACUGCGUAAUCAGCAGUAUGCAUUAUUGAUAAGUCAACACGAGAAGACUAGGAACAUUUAAUGGAACAGCUGCAAAUUAACCUUUUCCUCCCACUGAUUGAUUGAAUCAAAAGUCUCAUAGAUGACAAUUUGAGAUACCAAUCUUUUGAACACUCCCACUGACAAAACUUUUAGUUGGAGAUUGUGUGCCAAUAUGUUCAACAUCAAUAUUGUCUGCAUAGCGGAAGUAACUAUAGUAGUUUGUUUUGCACUUUUUCGAAUACAAUCUGCCAAAAAAUAUGUUUGAAACCAAAAACAUAACAACAUAUUAAUAACUGGAUGCAUCUGUAUUCAACUUUCAACUUAAACACCAACUUAAUUUCCUAGACCAAUAUUCAUACUUUGUAAAACAAAAUCAGUAGCUAAGAAACUAAAUAGCCUGCCAUCAAAACAAAUUAUCGAAAUUUCGUUGGAAACAAAAGGAGAAGCAUAAAAAGAAUAAUAAGACCAUGAGUGUGUAAAAUUUCUCUUACAUCACUUGUCCCACUUGGGCAAACACUCACUUCUUUGCUACUUCAAAAGAGUACGCCAAAGUACUUAUGCUGGUCACAUAACUUGUAAACAUAAUAGCUGGUAAACCAUAGAUGUAGUUCAUAGUAAAAACCAUAGAUGCACAAAAAACAACCACAAAACUACCAAAGCAAGUUUCCAGCAAUGAAGUUUACUUACUUGAAAGUUACUAUAAUUAAUUUAUAAGUCCGAUUAACACAACUUUACAUAGAAUCAAACUAGGGACAGUAAUCUUUAUAAAACAAAAAUGUGGAGUCGUUUUAUCUCCAAUUUAUAGUCCAAAGUUGCUCAUAAAAUAUGCCAGCACAUACACAAUCACAUGACCAAGGAAAAAGCAGCAAGAUUUAGGGUUUUUUAAAAUAUUUAAUUAUUUAUUACCCUAUUACCAAGACAGAAAAAUGAACCUAGAUUUGUCAAGAGAAAGCAUAUGUAAACAACAUAUGAAGUUGAACAACAUAAACCUCAAAAACAACAUAAACGUGAAAACCCACAUAUAUAUAUAUUAAACAGAGAGCGAAGAGAAGAGAAUCAUACAAGUCGUUUGUUGAACCCAGGAACCAAAAACUUGAAAAACACGGAGCAUUUCCCAGCCAUGAAUCCUGAUGAGAUGAGUGAAUAAGAAAAAUAAAUGUAAAGACAGAGAGGAAAGUUGAAACUAUGAAUGGACUGACGUUUCUGUGGCUUGUAUUCUCACAAAAAAAAUUCUUGGGUUUAGCCUUACCAGUAUAUAUAGCCUGAAAGGGCCAAUCGCUUCUCUCCAACGCAGCAUUGGCUUACAGAGAAGUGAUGGACGCUCCAUGAAUGGCAUUGGCCGGAGCUUGUCCUUUGAGUACAGAAUGCAUGCGGGUCGGAAAAGCCUGAAGCUUUUGCAGCAGCCGUCUGUGCCUGUGACUGUCUCUGUGCUACUAACGCGUCCAGAUUGCCAAAAUGAGCGUGCUAUGCCUUUAAUUGACUGAUUCUGAUUGCCAGCAAAAUGGGCCUGCAAUGCCUUUAAUUGACUGAUUGCCAAAAUGAGAAAAAGGCCCAUUAACUCUUAGCAUUUCACCUACAGAAAGUUGGGCUGAAUUGCACCCCUUUCGGCUUUUUUAUAUUAUAUUUUAAUUUUUUAUAUAAAAAAUUUCUUUUAUUGAUUUAACUUGUGCUUUUUCAGGUGUAUUUAUACGGGUUUAGGCUUUUGGACAGGUGAGAAUUUAAUUUAAACCAUAUAAUUCACUCACUCCACACACUAUGCCCUCUUUUAUAUCGUUGAUAAAAGAAUAAUGCUACUCUUACCACAUUUUUAUAUCAUAUUUUUAUAUCAUUUGAUGUGGCAGUUGAGGUAGACAGCCACAUCAAUUAAAAUUAUUUAAUAUUUUUUUUCUUUUAUGAUUUAUUUCAAUAUUUGUUUUUCUAAUUGCCUUAAUUAAAAUACACUUCAUCAAUUUAAUUGAUGUGACAUAUAAUAUGAACAUGUCACAUCAUGUGGUAUAGAAAUGUGGGAUAAAAAUGUGGUAAGUGUAGCAUUACUCUUGAUAAAAAAAUGCCCUCUUUUAUAUCAAAUGGAUCAUGACCACUACCUUACAUUCCACGAAAUUGUGCACUAUAAAUAGGAGCUAAUAAAAAGAUAUAUGUGAUAUAAAUAAGGAAGAAGAACUUACAUGUAAUGGGAUGUUAUUAUGGCGGUAUUCCAAACCUAUCACGCAUUACUAUGUCAAAAAAUAACAUUAUUAAUGUUAUGUCAGAAACUUAAAACACAUGGCAAUAGAUGAUUGACUAGAAAUAACCGUAACAGUAAUAUCUCCUAUAUAGGUAAGUUUUUCUUAAGGAGAAGGAGGAAUUGAAUACAUAACCUCAUUGCUCUGGCAUAGCAAUAUUUAUUACUUUUUAGUUAUAAUACAUAAACUUUCUCAAAUUUUGUCAAUCUCAGUGUUGGCCUUGGACAGAAGCAGUCAAUGCGACUUCCUUGGGCACGGUCCAAGAGGGCACAAAAUAUUUAUUUAUUUAUUUUUAUAAAGAAUUUCCACUUGGUCUUUUAAUAGUUUUUAUUUAUUUAUAUAUUAUGUUGUUCUAAUAAAAACGCUUAUAAUAAAUGCUCUUAUGAACAUAUGUACAUUUUGUACAACCAGUCUCAAACUGACCCUACGUACACAUGCUACUAUGUACAAAUAUGUACAUUAACAAUUUAACAUCUUGUCUGAAGUUUCAAAACCUAGUAGAGCAAAAAGGUGUAAAAAUUCAUAGGUCAUUAGCAUUGCAUGUUCAUAUAUGAUUUAAGAGUAAUGCUAUAGCCAUUGUUCUUUGGUGAACAACUUGCAAAUGUUAAGCCUAGGUAUACCUAGAAAAGAUCCUCUAAAGGGUGAAAGGAAAGAAGAAGAAAAAAGGUCAAAGGCUUAAAGAGUUCAGCUUUUCAAUCAUGUCAUGAACAUGAAGGAAAGCCUCACUGGUAUUACUGAGAAAAGGGUCUUCUUCUGCUGAGGAAAGAGUGUCAUAGAGAAAGAGAAGGGCAAAGCUCUUUUUCUGCAGAAAUGUGCAAAUUAGGGUUGUGCAAAUAAGAGCUGAGGGACUCCACCACAGUGGAGACUGAGAGUGGAGGGCAGCUUUAAAUAGCCAUUGAUUGGUGCAGACAAAGGAGGGUCACCCAAAAAUAUUAUGAGAGAGAGAAGAGAGAGGGGGUAGAUAGAUGGAAAUCCAGCUCAUUGUUGUCAAAGAAUGAUAGGAGCCCACGUGGAGAGGACUGGCAAAGUGCCAGUUCACGGACUUGUACAGUUUUGUAUCAUAAAAACUAUAGAGAGAGAGAGGUGCUCAACUCAUAGCUGUCUCCUCCUCGUCCCUAACGCUGGCAACAAGCUAGAUUAUCAAUCCUCCUCUCUGCUGCUCUCUCUGCUCAUGGGCCUCACCAUCAAAAGUCAUUGAGAGUUAUAUGAAUACAAUACAUACUUAAUUAGGGAAAUGCAUGUUCUCCCGCAUAUACUACUGACAAGGGAACAGUUGGAUUGUAAUAUGGAUAGUUGAUGAGGUUGAUUCUUUUAAAACAUGUGGGUUAGAUUCACAAUAUAACAAUAUAAAUAUAUUUUUUUUGGUAACAUGAAAAUAAGUCCGGCGAAAUAAUAUUACACUAUAUAGUUAUGUUCGAUAGUAAACAUUUUCUUAUCAACAUGUUAUAACAUAAUAUACCUAUGUUGUUAGAUUAAGAUUCUAAACCAUUUGAUAAUGUUUGGUUUUGCUUGAAUAUGUAGCCAUGUUUAUGGUUUGGUAACAUAAGUAUGGCAGUGAUAGUAUUACCCUACAUAGUUAUAUAAAAUCAUAAAUGUUAUCUUAAUAUAAGGCUUGUCAACACAAACAUAUAUAAGAUACUUAAAUUAUCAUACUAUAUAUUAUUACGAACAAUUGAUAAGUUUAGUGUGUACGGCUCAUAUUACAAAUAUAGGCAAAAUAGUUAACUGUGUGACAAUAUAAAUCUGACAAGAGAACAUUACUCGAUAUAUACUCAUUCAAUUUCAAGUUUUAAAACAUGACAAGAAGAACAUGUGAUCCUUCAAAAGAGACUUUAUGGCUCGCAUGGUCAUUAGCUUGUGGACAAGAUAAUGGUCUUCCAUUAACAUAUAAUAAUUCAAUUAAGAGCACGAACCCUUUUAGUUAAUUAAUGAUUAUUGACCAAGCAUUGGGAAUGAUUCGAUACAGAUGGUCAUAUAAAAUUAAACAACAAUGUACCAUGAUUUUGAUUUUCCUUGGCUGCCGCCCAAAGCUUGCAAUGCACAUGAUUUUUUAUCUGAAAGACUGAAACCAUUGGUUUAUGUAAUCCUAACUACUGUUUUCUUUCACUUAUUUUUCUUGUUUGGAAGUUGGCUUUGUAAACAGCUUAUGAUUAGACAGUUAGGAACAUGGGGUCAUGUGGGAAUAUUUGAUUAGCAUUUGGAAGCAGUUGAGUCAUAAAAAAAGAUUAAAUCUUAAUCUAAUAAAUUAAGCUAAAAUUAGCUGUUCUUUUGACCAUAACCAGCUAAUGUAACAUGAGGCAGAACAACAAGUGCAGAAAUUAUAAUAAUAACAUUGGUGAUCUUUUGGGCAAACCAAUUGUCAAUUCACAUACCAUGAAUUGUCGUCCAUUGCAGCCACAAAUCAAAACACAUUAAACAAAUUCAAAGAACUAAUUAAACCCACUGGUUAGUGCUCAGCAGCAUUACAAGAGCAACCAACUUUUCUUUAUUUAGUUAAGAGAACUGUUAGAGAUACUAAAUUUGUUCCUUAACUUUUAUUCACCAAAUAAUACGGCAGGGUUUGAUUAAUUUAAAUCUGUAUGUACUUUCAAUUUUAUUUAUAAUUAAUAAGUAAGAUAUAUUAAUAUGUAUUUGUUGAAGAAUAUAAAAUCUCACAUCGAAAACUUGACUAAAUAAAUUAGAACUUAUAAUAAGUGGUUCCACUCCUAAUAACACCGAAGUUUUUUGUGGUAAAACUCUACACCUACUGAGUUUUGUAAGUGAUUAAAUUGGGGACAAUAUCGGUUUUGCUAAUAGUGGGCCGCUGAUCCGUCUCUUUGAAAUUUAACAUGGUAUCAGAGAAGGGCUCCAACCCAAACCGGUUACAUCUUGAUUGGAUGUGGCCACCGAUCUGAUUGACCAACCACACCUUGAUAGGUGUUGCCAUCAACCCAAUCGACUCUGACUCAGAAUAUGACUUAUGAAUCACACAAAUACGGAUGAUUAAUUUCGAUGUGAACUUGGUUCCACGUAUGACCCAUUAUUUAGUGAAUAAAUUUAGUUGUGUUAUUGUUAUAUCUAAUUAUCCAAAAUCAAUCACAUCCACUGAAUCAUUUUUCGAUAGAAAGGGCAACUCGGUGAUGAUCGAAUGGUCCAUCUUACUGGCCUAGUUAGCAGACCCACAAUGAGUACAAAUGUUGGGGCAUCUCUGAUACCCACACCUACACACACACUGUAUUAAUUGUGUAAACAAAACAACUAACUAAUUACAGAUCAUACCAUAUUAUGCUUUUUGGGUCUACAUUAAUACAACUUUCUUUGGGACAAAUAAUUAAGAUUAAAAACUAAAAAAAAGAACACCAGGGUGGCGAAGAUCAAAAUAUUUUUUAUUUGUUACAUGUGGUAUUACAAAUUCAUCGAAAUUAUGAUAUAUUGUGAUGAAUAAUUAUCACUCUAAGGUAUAAUACUAAUAAAAUAAAUAUACACAGUGUUAUAAUAUAAGUGAUAAUAUAAUAUGUGAUGGUGUUACGAGGAUACAGAUAAAACAAGCGAAUUAGAGAGAGGAUUGGAAUGGUGGGAUUAAAAUUUGAUUGGAGGGUGGGAGGGUAUAUUAAUGCAGAGACAGGGAGGACACACUUGAAGUGCAUUAGUCACACAGAGCUGUCAUUCGCUAUUACGAAGCCACCCUCCUCCCCUCUCCUAAUUCAUAGCCAGCAAAUCAGGGUUUGCAGCUGUCGGGUGCUUUAUCUCUCUCUCUCUCUCUCUCUCUCUCUCUCUCUCUCUCUCUCUCUCCCUCUCUCCCCCCCUCACUCAAUCAACCAAACCAACUCCUCUGUUUCAAACUACUCAUCAAAUAUUUGACAGCAAUACCAACAGCAACAGCAACAUUUUAAACUAAUGCAAUAACCCUUUUCAAAUUUCUGUGUAUUCAAUGAUUUUCUCUCUGUAAAAAAAAAAGAAAAAAAAAAGAGAGAGAUGGAAUAAUAAUUAUGGAGAUGGAGGAGCAUAUAGACAUGGAGCAAGCAAAGAAGAUCAACAACAACAACAACAUGAGGUGGAAGAAAUUAAGAGGCCUCUGCUUAGCCAAUAUUUCUUCUCUGUGAUCAACAACUGCGUUUGUGUAUGAGUUCAUGUGGCAAAAACCAAGAAACCAGUUUGUGAUUUUGAUGAUUUAGAUGCCAUGGCUUAUCCACAUUACCGAUCACAGUUUGGGGACACAACGUUUACGAAAGUGUUUGUUGGAGGGCUCGCUUGGGAGACACCAACUGAUGAAAUGCGUAGAUACUUUCAGCAGUUUGGGGAGAUUCUUGAGGCUGUCAUUAUUGCUGAUAAGAACACUGGAAAAUCUAAAGGCUAUGGAUUUGUAAGUCUUUGAUAUUUUAAUCAAAGAUCGAUGGGUUAUUUUUAUUUUGUCUUCUGGUUUGGCUUACUCUUGUGUUCUAAUUUUAUGACUAGGUGACAUUUCGUGAUUCGGAAUCGGCAAGGAGGGCUUGUGCAAAUCCAAACCCUGUGAUCGAUGGAAGAAGAGCAAAUUGUAACAUUGCUUCGUUAGGACGUCCUCGGCCUUCACCCCCGAGAGGUACAUUACAUAUUUCAACCCGCAUUUGAGGUCCUGCAUUCGAUUCUCCCCUCUCUCUCGUAUCGUUGUAUAACUUUGCUAAAACUGUGCAUUUUCAUGGUUUAUACAGGAAGAAAUCAAGCCUCCGGUCCAUACCAGGGAAGUGCACCACAGGCUGCACAAUCGUAUGGCGGAGCGCCGCCAUUGCCACCACCGCUGCCGCCACCAGCCCCUAUUAUAUAUCCACCUUACAGGUAAGAAAUGUUGCAUUAUUAUUAUUUUUAUAACAAUUAAAGCUUUUUUUUUUUGGAGGGUUAAAGAGAAAUGGUCCAUGCAUAUGCAAUGAAUUAAAUAAGUGUCGUUUUUUAUGCUACAUAUAAAUAAAUAUUUCCUCGGUACAGUUGGUAUCAACCUGUAAAUAGCAAAUAUAAAUCAUGUAAAUUGACCUUCGUAGAGAAGGUGGGGUGCCAUGUUCUCUUGAUGUACAUAUAUUAUGAUACAUUGAUGGAUAUAUUGACCAAAAUCAUCUAUAAAAUACAGCAUUAAUAUUAUAUUAUUAAUUGCUGAAAAAUGUAAUUGUUUUAAGGAAAUUAUAAAGAUUAAUGGAGCUACAUUUGGUAGAUGAAGACGUGAAUAGAUUACAGUGAUAUUACUUAAAAAGAAACAAAUGGUCAAUCUUUGUCUUCAUCGGUCAACUCUAGGGUGGUGCUUCCUAAGUCUUUUGUGUUUUCCAACUUUGUUCCCCUUUUUACAAGUUCUACCCUAAAACCAAUCACUCAUACAUCUCAUUAAGUCAAAGUUAACUUAAUCUCUGUUAAUAUGAUCAGUGCGAAACACUUUAAGAAGCAAAUUAUUAUUAUUAUUUUGUUAUAAUAGAAGCGAUAUUGGAUAUUGGGGAGGGAGAAUCAAAUCUUAGACCUCUCGAAUACAAGGAUAAAUAUUCUCAAUCACUUAAACUAUAAGCCCUUUGUCUUCCAGAAUGAAAUCAUAGAAAGAAAAAAACUUCUCACCUAUAGAAUGAAUUUAUUUUGUUGGAAAUAAAUCUUCAGCUAUCAAGUUAUUUUCUGCCAUCGUUACCCGGCAAUCUCAUUUAAUAUUGAUUUGCAGCUACCCAACGUACACUCCUGCAGAUUAUGGGUACCAUCAAGUUAGUCUCUCUCUCUCUCUCUCUUGCAUAUACAAUAAUUGAAACAUAUGCAACAAUUGGUUCACAAUAUUAAUGAAUGGUUGAUGUAUUGCAGCAGGCAAUGUACAACCAACAAGUUCAACAGCAGCCCCAGUACUACUCUCAUCAAGUUUAUGGAUCAUCACCAUCUUCUCCCAUGGGCACUCCAUAUUAUUAUCAUGGCUAUUCUUUUCAAUCUCCAAGGGCAACGUUUUCUUCACCCCCGGCGCAUCGUAUGCCUGCUCCUUCCUAUCUCUACUAUCCUACGCAGAUGGAACCCUCCUCCUCCUAUCCAAAUCCUGCUCCUCCACUCCUACAACAACCCCCCACCUCAAGGCAACAUCCUCCCAAUUUUACCUCUCCUUCACCUGGUAAUUAACUACUUUAAUCAAUUCAUUAAUUUCUCUACUUUUUUUUUUAUCACUGUUUUAUUUUAUUUUAUUUGGUAUUUAGUAGUUAUAUGUGAAGUAUAUAUAGUUUAAAAUUCAAUGGAAAAUAAUUAUUAAAACUUUGUAGCUAGGUAGUAGUUCCACAUGAUAUAUAUAUAUAUAUGUGUGUUUUUUUUUGGGGGGGUUCCCUAGGGAUUUGUCUAACAUGGACCUAGUGGGGCUACAAGGGCAAGGCCAACCCAUGUGAGUGAGCUGUCUGCAUGGUUUGUGUGAUGACCCAAAGGGUCAAAUGGGAAGUCAUGACAGAGAAGCAGAAGCAGAAUUUGUGUAAAUUAACAGUGCUGCAUGUGGCUUCAACCUCAGCAGUCAAAAUCAUGCUUCAUUCUCGAGAGAUAUUUGUAGUCAAGUGGUCGUUUGGAGGAUUAACACUUGUGUGGAACGGGUAGCUUGGGGCAUAGCCAUAAUUCAAUGUUUGAGGGUCAUAAUCUAAAAUUUUAUAAUUUUUUCUUAUUAUCUCACGUCAUAUAGUAUACAUAUACUCACGUCAUAUAGUAUACAUAUACUAAGGGGAAGAAGAAGAAAAAUCGGGAGGACCAAAAUAAUGCUACGCUCAUUUCACGCGAGUUUUUUUUUUUUUUUUUUUGAGGGGGAGAAGGAAUGAAAAAUAACAUUAUAAAUUUAUAAAAAAACACAGUUAUAAUUGAGUUUCGAGUUAUACUGAUUAACAGUUUGAUUACAUAAUAUGAGGAAAAAAAAAUUGCUCUAUGUAUAUGUUGCUUGAUUACUUAGGUCUCAUAUAUAUAUAUAUAUAUAUAUAUAUUACAAACCAUUUUCUAUAUUCUUUAGCAUAAGACAAGUGAUUAAUAUGUUGAGAAAAUGGUUGUGGAUACUGCUAAAAUAUGAAAACUAUGAGAGAGUAUUUGUUUGUGGGAAUUUUCUGUGUAUUCUUCUCAUUGUAGGAGGUCAUAUUUAUAAUACAAUGAAACCUGAAUGGGCAAGUAAAUAAUAAAUUCCUAAAUCUAUUUACAGUAGGAAAUCAGGAAUUAAAGUAAAUCAAUUACAAUUAUAAUAGGAAUUCUUGGUGUGUAAGGAAAGUAAGUCAAUAUCCACAAGUCACGCCAACACUCCCCCUCACGUUGGUGCAUAGAUGUCGCCAAUGCCCAACUGAUCCAGUGAAUUGUGGAAUGCUUUACUGGAAAUCGCCUUUGUCAAAAUAUCCGCCAAUUGAUCCUCGGAUUUCACAAAAGGAAACUGAAACACUUUAGCCUCAAGCUUCUGUUUGAUGAAGUGUCGAUCUACCUCAACAUGUUUAGUACGAUCAUGCUGAACCGGAUUCUGUGCAAUGGCUAUAGCAGCCUUGUUGUCACAAAAGAGAUUCAUUGUGGAUGUAGGUUUAUACCCGAGUUCAAUAAGCAACUUUCUUAACCAAAGAAGUUCACAAAUCCCUUUAGUCAUGCCUCUGAACUCGGCUUCUGCACUGGAUAAAGCUACUACAUUUUGUUUCUUGCUCCUCCAUGUCACCAAAUUACCUCCCACGAAUGUGAAGUAACCCGAUGUGGAUUUUCUAUCUGUUACAUUACCUGCCCAAUCUGCAUCUGAAUAACCAUCAAUAUUUAGAUGACCAUGCUUUGAGAACAUAAGUCCUUUUCCAGGUGCAGACUUCAAAUAUCUAAGUAUCCGAAGAACUGCAUUCAUGUGGUCUUCACUUGGAGAGUGCAUAAAUUGACUGACAACGCUCACCGCAUAAGCAAUGUCUGGUCGAGUAUGUGACAAAUAGAUCAAUCUUCCCACUAACCUUUGGUAUCUUUCUUUGUUAGUUGGAACUUGAUCCGGAUAUUCUCCAAGAUGAUGAUUCUGAACAAUAGGAGUGUCCGCAGGUUUACAAUCUAGCAUUCCUGUGUCUGUCAACAAGUCUAAGACAUAUUUCCUUUGAGAGAGAAAUAUGCCUUGCUGCGAUCGAGCCACCUCAAUUCCCAAGAAAUACUUGAGUCCACCUAGAUCCUUCAUCUCAAACUCCGUAGCCAGAUAGUCUUGUAGCUGUGAUAUUUCCUGUUUAUCAUUCCCAGUAAUAAUCAUAUCAUCAACAUAGAUUAUUAAUGCUGUUACCUUCCCUUUUUGAUGUUUCAAGAACAGAGUAUGAUCUGAGUUGCACUGUUUGAAACCAUUGUUCUUCAUUGCCAUGGUGAACCGUCCAAACCAUGCACGUGGUGACUUGUUUCAAUCCAUAACAAUGCUUUUCGUAACCUGCNNNNNNNNNNNNNNNNNNNNNNNNNNNNNNNNNNNNNNNNNNNNNNNNNNNNNNNNNNNNNNNNNNNNNNNNNNNNNNNNNNNNNNNNNNNNNNNNNNNNGGAUCACAGUUUGGGGACACAACGUUUACGAAAGUGUUUGUUGGAGGGCUCGCUUGGGAGACACCAACUGAUGAAAUGCGUAGAUACUUUCAGCAGUUUGGGGAGAUUCUUGAGGCUGUCAUUAUUGCUGAUAAGAACACUGGAAAAUCUAAAGGCUAUGGAUUUGUAAGUCUUUGAUAUUUUAAUCAAAGAUCGAUGGGUUAUUUUUAUUUUGUCUUCUGGUUUGGCUUACUCUUGUGUUCUAAUUUUAUGACUAGGUGACAUUUCGUGAUUCGGAAUCGGCAAGGAGGGCUUGUGCAAAUCCAAACCCUGUGAUCGAUGGAAGAAGAGCAAAUUGUAACAUUGCUUCGUUAGGACGUCCUCGGCCUUCACCCCCGAGAGGUACAUUACAUAUUUCAACCCGCAUUUGAGGUCCUGCAUUCGAUUCUCCCCUCUCUCUCGUAUCGUUGUAUAACUUUGCUAAAACUGUGCAUUUUCAUGGUUUAUACAGGAAGAAAUCAAGCCUCCGGUCCAUACCAGGGAAGUGCACCACAGGCUGCACAAUCGUAUGGCGGAGCGCCGCCAUUGCCACCACCGCUGCCGCCACCAGCCCCUAUUAUAUAUCCACCUUACAGGUAAGAAAUGUUGCAUUAUUAUUAUUUUUAUAACAAUUAAAGCUUUUUUUUUUUUGGAGGGUUAAAGAGAAAAUGGUCCAUGCAUAUGCAAUGAAUUAAAUAAGUGUCGUUUUUUAUGCUACAUAUAAAUAAAAUAUUUCCUCGGUACAGUUGGUAUCAACCUGUAAAUAGCAAAUAUAAAUCAUGUAAAUUGACCUUCGUAGAGAAGGUGGGGUGCCAUGUUCUCUUGAUGUACAUAUAUUAUGAUACAUUGAUGGAUAUAUUGACCAAAAUCAUCUAUAAAAUACAGCAUUAAUAUUAUAUUAUUAAUUGCUGAAAAAUGUAAUUGUUUUAAGGAAAUUAUAAAGAUUAAUGGAGCUACAUUUGGUAGAUGAAGACGUGAAUAGAUUACAGUGAUAUUACUUAAAAAGAAACAAAUGGUCAAUCUUUGUCUUCAUCGGUCAACUCUAGGGUGGUGCUUCCUAAGUCUUUUGUGUUUUCCAACUUUGUUCCCCUUUUUACAAGUUCUACCCUAAAACCAAUCACUCAUACAUCUCAUUAAGUCAAAGUUAACUUAAUCUCUGUUAAUAUGAUCAGUGCGAAACACUUUAAGAAGCAAAUUAUUAUUAUUAUUUUGUUAUAAUAGAAGCGAUAUUGGAUAUUGGGGAGGGAGAAUNNNNNNNNNNNNNNNNNNNNNNNNNNNNNNNNNNNNNNNNNNNNNNNNNNNNNNNNNNNNNNNNNNNNNNNNNNNNNNNNNNNNNNNNNNNNNNNNNNNNNNNNNNNNNNNNNNNNNNNNNNNNNNNNNNNNNNNNNNNNNNNNNNNNNNNNNNNNNNNNNNNNNNNNNNNNNNNNNNNNNNNNNNNNNNNNNNNNNNNNNNNNNNNNNNNNNNNNNNNNNNNNNNNNNNNNNNNNNNNNNNNNNNNNNNNNNNNNNNNNNNNNNNNNNNNNNNNNNNNNNNNNNNNNNNNNNNNNNNNNNNNNNNNNNNNNNNNNNNNNNNNNNNNNNNNNNNNNNNNNNNNNNNNNNNNNNNNNNNNNNNNNNNNNNNNNNNNNNNNNNNNNNNNNNNNNNNNNNNNNNNNNNNNNNNNNNNNNNNNNNNNNNNNNNNNNNNNNNNNNNNNNNNNNNNNNNNNNNNNNNNNNNNNNNNNNNNNNNNNNNNNNNNNNNNNNNNNNNNNNNNNNNNNNNNNNNNNNNNNNNNNNNNNNNNNNNNNNNNNNNNNNNNNNNNNNNNNNNNNNNNNNNNNNNNNNNNNNNNNNNNNNNNNNNNNNNNNNNNNNNNNNNNNNNNNNNNNNNNNNNNNNNNNNNNNNNNNNNNNNNNNNNNNNNNNNNNNNNNNNNNNNNNNNNNNNNNNNNNNNNNNNNNNNNNNNNNNNNNNNNNNNNNNNNNNNNNNNNNNNNNNNNNNNNNNNNNNNNNNNNNNNNNNNNNNNNNUUGUCCCACGGAACUACCAACUCAGGGACACAUUUCAGAGUGAAUUAAUGUAAAUGGAGUAGUACACUUGUUCGUACUCAACGGGUAGGGCACACGGUGACUCUUGGCCAAAAUACAAGUAUCACAUGUGAAGUCAGAGUCUUUGAAACCUGAGAAUAAAUCUGGUAUAAGAUGCUUCAUAUAACUAAAAGACGGAUGUCCCAAUCGACGAUGCCACAACCAAAUUUGCUUUUGUUUGCUAUCAAAGGAAUGUGUCACACUGUUAGCCACGCCGGGACUGAAGUCAUCGACAUAAUAUAGCCCCCCUCUCUUAGUACCACGACCAAGAAUCUCCUUAGUGUGAAUAUCCUGAAGCAAACAAAAACUCGGGUAAAUGAGUACACAACAAUUCAAUUGUUCAGUAAGCUGACUAACUGACAACAAUUUAGUGGAUAAAGAUGGAACAAGUAAAGUAUUAGACAGUGUGAGAGAGGAUGAGAGUGCAACAGUGCCAGCCCCUGUCACAGGAUAAGUAACACCAUUGGCAUUUGCAAUACAUGUUCGUCGAGGUUGUGUAGUAUUCAAAAAAUCAUCAGGAUCAAACGUCAUAUGAUCAGUUGCACCAGAAUCAAUUAUCCAGCUCUUGGAAUCAAUCUUAUCGGAAGUAUGGAAUCCAUAACCAGUACCAUUACUGGUCAUAUUGCAUUGUCCUCGAUCUGUAAGAGUAGCCCACCAAUCGGGGUAGCCAUGCGAUGUAAAACAAGUCUCACAAGUGUGUCUCGGAUCACCACAAUAUGCGCAAUUUGGUCCAUGUGUCGGGGUCGUUAGUCUAGAAGUCAUAAGCUGUGCAGCGGAAGAAGCAUAGGAUACAGGUUGAGUAGGAAUUUGGAUCGGAAUCUGAGCAUGAGUCGGGGCCGGAGUCGGAGUCGAAAUCGGAAUCGGGGUCUGAAUCAUAGACAAAUUCGAGGUUGGGGUCAUCAUCGAAGUAGGGGUCGUGGUCGUCUUCGGAGUCGGGGUCAGGGUCGUCGUCGUCAUAGUCGGGGUCGGGGUCGGGGUCGUCAAAAGAAGAUCCUGAUUCUGGAUCGGGGUCUGAAUCAUAGACAAAUUCGGGGUUGGGGUCAUCAUCGGAGUGCGGGUCGGGGUCGUCUUCGGAGUCGGGGUCGGGGUCGUCUGGGCACUCAACUCAACGAUGGUUGGUUGAGAAUGAGAGAAGGAGUCGGUGGUGCUACCUCCAUGAGGGUUGAAAAAAUCAUCAACCCUCAUAGCGGCGGCGGAGUUUUGAAACUAGAGUCAGCAAUUCCAAGAUCGCCGCUCUGAUACCAUGCUAAAAUAUGAAAACUAUGAGAGAGUAUUUGUUUGUGGGAAUUUUCUGUGUAUUCUUCUCAUUGUAGGAGGUCAUAUUUAUAAUACAAUGAAACCUGAAUGGGCAAGUAAAUAAUAAAUUCCUAAAUCUAUUUACAGUAGGAAAUCAGGAAUUAAAGUAAAUCAAUUACAAUUAUAAUAGGAAUUCUUGGUGUGUAAGGAAAGUAAGUCAAUAUCCACAAGUCACGCCAACAGAUACCUGUGGUUUUGAGUGGUCAUGCCUGCAACAAUUUUGAUAGUCAUUUUCUUUUUGGUCCGAAUCUUAAGUUUUAAUAAACCCCACUCUUGGUCUGACAUUAACCCCACUCUUUAAAAGCACUUAAAUACAAAUUUUUGUCGAACGAUGUCUCAGUACUGCGUUACAAUCCAUGAUGUGUCAUGCUGAAAAUAUGGACCGUCCGAGCUAAUAUUGACAUAUAGUACAAUUUGUCCUUCUAGCACCAGAAGAUAUAUAAUUUCCAUGAUCUUCUCUUUCCUUUCCUUAAUCUUUCAACUUCUAUAAAAUAAAAUAAAAAUUCUAUGUCUUCAACUAUUUCAUACUUAAAGAUUUGUUUAUCAUUGACAUGUUCCGAGUAAUUAGUUUUUUCUUUCUAAAAUUUUAGCUACUGAAUAAUGUGGUAAAUGAUACGACAAUAUCUUAUAGUUGCUAGAAACAAAUGAAGUUCAAAAUACGCCCAACAAAAUAAAUAAAGUACUGAACAUUUGUUGAGAUUCAAAAUUUUAAAUUAAGUUUAUCACGGUGUUUGUAGCAUUGCUUUAUAUUGUCAGACUAUUAAUCAUCGCCAUUGAUUUGGUCAUAUAUGAAAUUGUCUUUCAAUGGGUGUAUUAUUCUUAUAUAUUAGGGCAAACAACUGUGCUCUUAAAAUUUCUUUCUAAAUUGCUGCUAUAUGUAGAGCAUGUGCUCAUGUGGAAAUCUAUACUGUUGUUCUUGGUCUCAGAUUCACAGAAUCCACAACAUGCGUCUACAGAAACAGAAGCUGGAGUUGUUACUUCAGAAAGUACUCCAGAUGCCUAAAAGGACUCGUUGAUAUAUACAUGAUUUCAUGAAAAAAAUUUCAUUUGUAUAAACUUUAUAAUUAAAAGGUCAUGUUCUCUUUAUCAGCCGAUCAUUAUUUUCCGUUUGGCAGCCAUUCAUAGUAUUUUUUGGGUCGAAAUAGGUGAAUACUGCUUCAACAUUUCUUGUGUUCAACACAGCUAUUAUGUGGCAAGAAAAAGAUUAUCAACUAAUCAACCAACUCAUGCAUUUUUUUUGGUCUAUUCCCUUUCUAUAUUAAUUUACUUUGUUCAUUUUUAAACUGUAUCAUUUCUCCAGUAAAAUGUAUGAAGAAAUUUUGUUCUGGGCCCGUACGGGAAGUUAAUGUCGAACUUGAGCCAACACGUCUUACGCAAUUGAGCAAAAUGUGCAACUCAAAAUGUUAUGUAGUGGAUCUUCAUAUAGUGGCUUCUUCCAAACGAAUGCACCAUUUGUUACCAUAUGCAUCGAUGUUCACAGAGCAUUGCUACGCUUACCAAAUGACAUAACAGUAUGUAAUUCAUUCCAAUCUAAAUCGGCUAUGAACAGGGUCGGCCUUGGGCCUAGGCACCAAGGGCGAUGCCCAGGGCUCCAAAAUUUAUAUAUACAGAGAGGUUUCGUUGAGGGAUUGUAAGACUCACUCUAUAUUGUAUUUCACUAAUUCAAACCUUCUUUUUAUAGAUAUUCAUUCAAAUUCUACAAAAAAAAAAUCACUUGAAUAUAAUAUCAUUUGACCAUUCAAUUAAAUUAUUAAAAAUUAAGAACUCUUUUGAAGCACUGUGUUAAUUGAUAUUUUGUUGGUUUCAAUUAGAUGCCUUAAUGAUUUUCAAUUUAUCUCAUUUUUUGCAAGGAUGAUAUAUGAAUGAAGACUUGAAAAAUAGAUGGUUUGGAUCGUUGGAGGAAAAAAAAAAAUAGUAAGGUACCCUAGAGGGUGUCCCUCAAAUAAAAUAAUUUGAGGAAUCCCUCAAUGAAGGAGACUGUUUAUAUAUAUAGGGAUCUCUUAGUCUUCCUAUCUUUGUGCUUCAAUCUCUCACUGAAAAGCUCACACUUUAAAAUAAAAAAUAAAAAUCUAAUCUUUGUCUUUGAAACUGAAAGUGACCAAGAGAAGAGGAGCAUGAAAGUUUAAAAAACAAACUAGAUUUUUGAAUUCUUUAAAUUAUUAAUGUUAAUAAGUUGGGAAAUUUUUUGAAGUUUGUAAAAUGGAUAAAUGUUUUUGGGUUUAUGUAAUUUUCUGAAGCCUGUUUAUAGGAUUUGAACUGUCAGAGUCUCUCAAUACCAUUUCAUGUGUAAUUAGAGCCUGGGUGAUGAAGUAAGAGCAUCUCCAGGAGAGUCUCCAAAUUUUAGUCAAAUUCUAGCUAAAAUAGCUAAGAAGCCAUUAUGGCAAACUACUUAAAAGGUGCUUCGUCCAACAAUGCUCUCUAUUUUAGCUAACCUCAAAUAUUUUAUUAUUUCUUAAAAUUUAAACAUUUAGUAUACCUACUUUUCCAACUGCUAGUUUACUAGUCUUGGAUUUUUUUCUUGCUAGUUUAAGUAAUCCAUUUAGGUUGAUCCUUCAAUAGAUGCCAACAAUGCUCAUACACAAAUGCUAAUCCCAUGAGUUGUUGAUACAUUUCUUUUGCUUCUAAGAUAUGUACAGCAUUUUAAUAAUCAAUCAAACAGUUUGUAAAAAUACAAAUCAUUUACAGUGUCAAAAACACAAAUCAUUUACAGCGUCAAAAACACAAGUUAUUUACAGUGUCAAAAACACAAAUCAUCAUACACAUCAAGUAAGAAAUUUCAAAAAUUUCUCAUUUAUUUGCAAUAAUAAAUAUACAUAAUGACUAAAUUUGAUUGUAAAAUUUUGGCAAGAAGAUUACCCUGUCUUGUUCACAACAAAAUUCUUAGCUCUUUGUGGUUUCUUAGUGGGUGGUCUAGUUGGAACAAUCACUUGAGGCAUGUCAUUGUCCCCUUCAUUUUGGUUUGCAGUUGUGUAACCAAAUGUUGAAUAUGUAUUAUCUACAGAAUCCAUCUACAUAUAUAGCCUCAUGACAUUAAACCACCGUUAAGAUUAUUCUUAAAAUACAUUUUUGUAGAGAAGCACCUCCUAACAAAAACUAACGAGAAGCUUUGUGAAGCCACCCAUCAAACAAUUUGCAGGCAUAGUUAAGUUCAAAUCAACACAAACCAUAAAAUGCAUUAAUCUGAACCUUGCCUAACUUGAAAUGGUUGUAGGUAUUCAAAACUUGGCAAAUCAAGUAAUUUCAAACACUUCCAAGCAAAAACCUAGAAACCCAUAUACAAAUUUCAAACCUAGAAAUCCAUACACAAAUUUCAAGUAUAGUUUAAAAGGAAUUUUCAAAUUUCAUCUGGAAAGACCACUUAGAGUUCAAAGAGAGGUAGAGAAACAUAGAAACAAGGUGAGAGAGACUUCACAGAGAGAAGACGAUGGAGACUUUGAAGUUUUGAAUUUGAAUUUUUUAUUGUUGCAACGAGAUGGCUUGAAUUUCUCUCUCCUCCUUACUAGAUGUAGCAAGCCAAAAUUGUGUUCUCCAAAAUGGCGAGAGAGGUAGCGACGUUGCUAGAGUGUUGUUUUUCCUUCUUUUUCACCAAAAUAACUAGGGGUGAGAGAAUAAAGAGUCUUCUAAAGAUGCUCUAAGGUAAGCAUGUUGAGGACCUCGGCUCCUUCUCAAAAAUAGUCAAUCAAUUAACUAAGGGAAAAAGCCUAAUUUAAUUUAUGGCUUUGAGCUUUGGGCUGCCCAAAAGUUAAGGUCGACCGUGACUAUAAACCUCAUUUAUUUCUAAGUGUACACUUUAACAUAUGUACAUAUACAAAUUUGAGUAUAAUAUUUUUGGUGUUUAAAUUAUAAGAAGGUUGACAUAAUUUUAUGUGCAUUGUGUAGCCUUACGUAGAGAGAGAGAAAAAAAGAAGAAGAAAAGAAUACACGAGGUUUAUACUCUACGCGUUCAUCUAACCCCACACUUGUGACAAGAGAUCAAUUCUCAAACUUUGCCUCUUUCGGAAUCUUCAUGACUAAAUAUACACAUACACAAAACUAAGGAUGACGGGUCUCUUUCAUGUUAUGGUACAAGAUUUGCUCUCUUAAGAACCUCAUUUGCAUAAAAAUUUGCUAUUAGUUUAGUGAUGUUUCCCUUUUCAAUAUUGAAAGAAAUUUCAUGUAUCAAUCAACCCUCAUUUGUUAAACUUAAAAGGAGUGUGAUUUGCCUAAAGUUAAAACUUUGAAAUACACUUCACCCAACUCGUUCGGCCCACAAUUGGGCUUCAGCUCAGCCCUUGUUGAGUUGAGUAAACUCUUCUAUUAGAGCACCUCCACCCCAAAGGGGAAGGGCAAGGCAAGGUUCCUUUGUCUUUUUUGUUUCCACCCCUAUGGGCUAGGGCAAGGGCAAUUACUAUUCACAUAAGAUAUGAGCAGAUGAAUUUGUAUAGAGUUUUUGGUGUGGGAAGUAAAGAAUAUGGAUAGGUAUUUAUAUAUAUAAAAAAUUCUAAAAUUCUAGGUAUUUUUUUCAAUUUUUUUUAUAAAAAAAUUUUGGUUGUUAAGUCAUCAUUGUGUUAGCAGCCUUCGGGCAACAGCCCAGGCAAUUCUUGCCCGUGGGCUUGCCCCAGCUGGUGGGUCUCACCCCUUGCCAGGGCUGGACCUUGCGCACAGGAGGGGGUUUUUGGGCCUGGGGUUGGCUUUUUCCUGCCUCUGCCCCUUGCGCUGGAGCUGCCCUUAGGAGGUGAUCAAGCUUUGAGCUUGAAUUUUGGCCCAGUACUAAAGUUUUUUGGCCCCUUUUUUUUGGACCAUGGGCCAGUUGAUCCAAUAGCCCUCAAACUUUUUAGUUGAUGUUUUUUUUUUUUUUGAAAAAUUUAUUCAGUGAAUAAUUUGCCUCCUACGUCUCACAGUCUACACAAUGAUCACAUAAUGGCUUGAUGAUGUUGAUCAAAGUAUAUUGCUUUUGCUAGCUAUCACAUGGCUAGUUCAGCAUCGAAUGCAAAGAAAACCGCAUGCAUUCAUUCUUCUCUAAGCUAUAGAACUAGUACUACUGGCUUUACUGCUGUGGUAAAUGGUAAUUAAUUGAAAGAUAGCAUGUCAGCUUUCAGAAAAUAAAGGUAGCUAGGAUGAACGACUAAUCAAACUAUAUAGCUAGGUUAAGUAAAACUUGCACGUAAUGAAUAUUGAUUGAAAUGUCCACAUGCACAUCCUAAAUAACUAGAAAUUAAUGAUUCACCCUGCAACUCUCUCUCUCUCUCUCUCUCCCCUCUCCCUCUGCUCUUCUGUGUGUGUCUGGUGUGAGUUGACUGUUGGGUAUGUACAUUUGCAGAGAGAGAGAGAGAGAGAGAGAGAGAGAGAGAGAGAGAGAGAGUGCAUGAUGAUACAAAUUGCCUUAGAUUUUCAACCCUCUGUGGUGCAAAUGUUGCUAAAUUCAGAUGACAGGGGCCACAGAAUUUAAGGUUAUUUCCUUCCUUUCCCCAAAGAUACACACAGUGCAGACAGCACAUAGUUAUGACCCCCUCAACAAUGGUUCUUUUCACUCAACUGCAAUAUUCUCCAGCCAACCCCUUCUCUCUCUCUCUCUCUCUCUCUCAUGAUUACAAUGCAUUCAUUUCAAGCUAUGAUCUCAUUAUAAAUGCCUUGAUCUUAAAUCAAUUAUGUUGCACACCAUUCAUUCUAUGUAGUUUUAAUAAUUAGUGCUCUUAUAAUAUGGAGCCCUCUGAAUUUUCAUCUAGCUCCUCCCCCUUCUUUUCUGCCAAUGAUCAUGUUGAGACCCUCAAUCUUUUUCCAAAUUAUAAGACCCCAAAUGCUUAUCUUGAACCUCUACCACUGAUAAACUGCCUGCUUCGUUCACCUGAGCAUCAGGUGCCUAAUUACCAUGAUGAAAACCCUAAAGCAUGCAAUGAAGAUCAUAAAGAGGAUGAAGUCACUGUGGCCCUGCACAUUGGCCUUCCAGAAUAUUCAGAUGGCUCUAUGAACUAUUUGAAUGAGAAGGAAGAUGAAAACAAUGUGACAGCACAAAAAUAUUGGAUUCCAACUCCAGAACAAAUACUCAUUGGCUUCACCCAUUUUUCUUGCCAUGUCUGCUUCAAAACAUUUAACCGCUACAAUAAUCUGCAGGUACGUACGGUUAGUUGUCUAAAUUAUAAUCUAAGUCUCUUUCGAAUAUUUGGUACAAAAUUUCACAUAUAUAAGAUACAUACACACACAAAUGUUCAAUAUAUGAAUCCCUUUCACAAUUCGGUAAUUAAACUGAAGUCUAUUUGGUUGGCUUGGAGGGUUUUGGUUUAAUACCAUAUAUUAUUCCUUGAUUUUAAAAAGAAAACCUUUCGAGCCAACCAAACGGACUUCAGUUUAGCAUUCGAAACCCUCAAGCCAUGCUUUGGUUUGAUUAACAACGUUGGAAAAAUUUACUACCUGAACUUUAGAAGUUUCCUUUUAUAUGUUCUUAUUAAUUGAUUUCACUAUUCCUAUGCUUUUCACUGUCAUGUCAUCAUUCCCAUGGAAGAUGCACAUGUGGGGGCAUGGGUCGCAGUAUCGAAGAGGGCCAGAGUCACUGAAAGGAACACAGCCUCGAGCCAUGCUAAACAUCCCAUGCUAUUGCUGUGCAGAAGGUUGCAAAAACAACAUAGACCACCCAAGAGCAAAGCCUCUAAAGGACUUUCGGACCCUUCAAACACACUACAAGAGGAAGCAUGGCAUGAAGCCCUUCAUGUGUCGCAAGUGUGGGAAGCUGCUGGCAGUGAAAGGAGACUGGAGAACACAUGAGAAGAAUUGUGGCAAGCGCUGGCUUUGCAUUUGUGGUUCGGAUUUUAAGCACAAGAGAUCACUCAAAGACCAUAUCAAGGCUUUUGGCCAUGGCCAUAGACCUUUUCCACCUAAUUCUUUUGAUGAAGUCAGGGAUCUUGAUGAGGAUACUAGUACCACACCAUCGUUGUUUAAAGGCAUGUCAAGUGACACAACCUCUUAACGCAAAUGAAAAUUUUGUGUUCCCCUCUUGAACUUUUUAUGAUGAAGAAUCGUUGACGAAGAUUUGAAUGAAAAAUUCUAUGAGUUUGAUACACAAAUCAGUUGACUAUUUCCAUGAUAUUUUCCUUUCAGUAGAAAACUGUGGUGUCAUGUAAUUUAGAGAUCAUAUUUGUAAGGGAAAUUCUGAAAAAUAGCCAACUUCUCAGCACUGUAAAGAUUUUUAAAAUAAAAAAAGGUAAAAUUUGAACCAUUUUAACUAAAAAAAGACUUAGAAAGGCAGCAUGGGAAUUAAACUUGGCCACCAAAAGUUAGGAAACAAACAUCAACUGCGCUGCAGCCUGCACACAAUGGUUAGCGCUGCACAAUAAACUUGACUUUAUUGUGAUAAAUAGUUUGUUUCAACUUUCAAGCCCUCCUUGAUGCGAGACCCUAGGAGGUCGCCUCAUGGGACUCCCUUCAGGGCCGACCUCUUGCUAUUUCUUAGAGCAAAUAAUGUUUAUAAUAAUAAGAACUUACUAUGUAUGUGUCUAGCUCUCACGUUACACUACUAAGAAAAACAAUGGGCUUGUUUAUUGGUCUACAAAAGGGGUUUGUAUUGGCAUUUUUGGUGCCUAAUAUAUCGAAGUAGUAAUUUUUAGUAUAUUUGGUACCAAAAAAUUCAAUACAAACCCCUUUUGUGAAGAACCUAUCAUGUUGGCGAGUGUAAAAGUUUCUUUUCUACUUAAUUAGUUUAAGAUCCAUAAAUUGAUAAUAUUAGUGAGAAACACUUACUUUCAAGAGAGUUAAAAAUUUUUGAACAUUUUAGAAUUCCUUAACACUCUCAAAUUUCCUCAUCCCAUGUGCAUGACUUUAAGUGUUUUUCUAAAUUAUGAAUUAGACUUUUGAGAGGCUUAUUUGUGAAAGCCAUUUCUUUUUUCCCCAGUUACAAGUACUUGGGCUUACAAUAAGGCAUUAUUGUGCUUUCUCAGGCAUACACAGGAACUUUUGUGAAAAUGGAUGCUUUAGUGAGGGAACUUGGGUGGACGAUGAGUGGCAGCCUGGCAGGUGCUGGGCCAAAGCCAGCCAACAUCUGUUUUCUUUUUUCAAUUGUAUCCCAAGGUACAAAAGUGAAAUUUAAAGUUUGCCAAAAACUAAAGGGUCACGAAAAGUAAAAAUUCAAAGAGGGAUGAUAGAGACUCAGGUAAUGGUCAUAAUAAUGGAUAAUGCUCUAAAUUACUCGUAUCGAUAAAUGAAAAUUAUAGGGAAAAAAGGUAUCUAAAGAGUACAGCCGCACGGCUAUACUAUUAAAAAAAAUUAGAGAGAACCGAGUAUAGUCGUGCGGCUAUACCAUUGUUUAAAGAACCGAGUAUAGACGCGUUUAUUUUUUAAAAAGACCGCAGCGCUUAGUCUCUCACGUGUAAAAACAGUAUAGCCGUCGGCUAUCGCCCGGCUAUACUAGUUUAAAAAAAUUUAAAAGCUCGUAUAGCCACACGGCUAGACUAUUUUAAAAAAGCAAAAAAAAAAAAAAGAAAAAAAAAAGAGUACCUGCCUAUCCAUUAGCCUCUCACAUUCAUUCAUAGUUAGUAAAAUACAAAACGAAAAAAAAUAUGAAUAAAAUACGUAUGUGUUUUAUCCGGUAAAAUUUUGGCAAAUUACAACUUUAAAGUAUGGCCACUAUAUUAUAUUUUAAUAUAAUUCAUAUACAUUUUUAAUAUAUAUUAUUUUUAUUUAAUAAUUUGUGAGAAUUAUGUGUACAAUACGUGAUUUUUGUGUGUCUUAUUGAAAAUUUUGUAUUAAACACGUGUAUUAAACAUGAAAAAUACAUACGUAUGUGUACGAUACGUGUAUUGUAUGUUGGUUUUUUAAAUACGUAUAUUUUACCGAGUCUUUAAGACGUGUACGAAAAACAGAAGUAUUAUUGAAAAGCACAUACGUGUUUAAUACAAGUAUUAAACGGGAAAAUGCUAAAUUCUUUAAACGGUAAAAACUCACGAAAAGUAAAAACUCAAAAGGAGACAAUAGAGACUCGAGAAAUGGCAUAAUAGUAACAGAUAAUACUCUAAACUACCAUUGUAGACAGAAAUUUCGAGUACCAGAAGAACUUCUUUUGAAUUUAUUUUAAAAAUUUUAUAUAUUGGAGGAUUGGAAUGCAGGACUUCGAAUUCAAGUGUAAACACUCAACCCAUUGAGCUAACAUAAAAUCAAAAGUUGAAAUCACAUAAUUGAUGUCCCUUGCUUGAUAUAGUUUCUUGCCUUUUUGAUGGUUUGCUUGUGACAUGGAAUCAAAAUUCGAAAUCACAUCAUUGAUGUGUAUAUUGAUCAAAUGUUCCAUUUUAAAAUUACAAGAGUUCGUGAAGCAUUAUUAUUAGAUACGCCAACUUGGAAAGCAAGCACAUAAAACAAACAAAAAAGCAAAAAGGAACUUCUCAUGACCCAAGAAAUUCAAAAAAUACACAAAAGCACAUAAAAAUUCAAACAAAAAGGAACUUCUUAUCAGGAACAAGAUGAUCCAAGUAUGGACUGAAACAACUAGUUAGAUUCUAGUCAAUUCAGAUUUCUUGGAGAAAGAAGAACCCGGUUAAUCAUGUUGUCCAAAGCCAAGAAUGAUAACCCAUUUGGACCAGUAGCGGCCUCCUCUGCCAACUUCUUCCAUUCCGUGGCUUUCUUCCUCAUCUCUUUGCCCUUCUCUCCCUCCAUUAAUGUUCGCACAAGGUCCUCUAUGUAGUUUCUUUUAACAUCACCCUCUAUCUCUAUGCCUACGCCCCAUUCUUUGCAACAGAACCUGCAAUUGGUUUGUUGCUCUGCAAAGAAGGGCCAACAGAUCAUGGGCACUCCACCACACAAACUUUCAAGGGAAGAGUUCCAUCCACUGUGUGUCAAGAACCCUCCUACAGCUGGGUGGCUCAGGACUUGUUCUUGAGGGCACCAACUUGAGAAUAGACCCCUUUCUUCGGUCUCUUCCAAAAACUCCGGUGGAACCACAGCGGAUUCUCCAAGAACAAGGUCAGGCCUUAUAACCCAUAAAAAGGCCUUGUUGCUAUUUGCAAGUCCCCAAACAAACUCAAUUAGUUGCUCAGAUGUCAUGACUGUGAUGCUUCCAAAGUUGACAUAAACCACAGAAUUUGGUUCUUUUGAGUCAAGCCAUUCAAGGCACUCUGUUUCUUCUCUCCAUAGAUUUGAUUCAAUCGACUUCAAAUUGUUAUAAUCUGGUGGAAUCUGACUAACCUGUAGUUGAAGGGGUCCAAUGCAGUAAAUAGGUGGUAGCAAAGUCGAAAGUGCAUCCAGAACUUCAAGCUCUAAGGCGUCAAAUGUGUUGAAAAUGAUUGCUGAAGCUUUCUGGGCUCGUUCGUACUCACUCACAAGAUAUUUCAGCAUGAUGUCAUUUGGAUCUGUGGUUCUGACGAAGGUUGGCAAGUCCCUCAAACGAAUAUGUCUCAUGCCUGGUAUCCAAUCUAUUACAGUAUCUAAAUACCCAUUUGUCAAAUAGCUGGCAUCUGCAAAUCAAAUAGGUCUUCUGAGUCAAACAUUCUAACCAAAAAAGAAAAAAAAAAAAGUUAACAAUUUUAUUAUGUAGUGUCCCCAAAUGACCAGUGAGGAAUUUGAAGUAAAUUCCUCUUUUUUUUUUUAAUUGAUUAUUUUUGAAGAUUGAAAUAUUCUUUUAUUAGACAAAUGCGAACGUUGUUAGAUUGAAUAUAUAGUAUACAAGAGUCAACUUGAUUACUAUUCAGAUUCACAUUCUAAUAAUAUAAAUAUUGUUUGACAAGUGAACGUUCUUGUCAGUAUAAUAGUACCUUUAAGAGGAAUUAAACCCUUUUCCAUCAGAGGGAGAUACUGAAGGUAACCCAACGAGCCACAAGCACUCGUUGUUUCGAAAAGAACACAGGGAAUGCCAAAUUCUUGGGCUGCAUCAAGUGAGAAUGUCAUGCCACCAUCAGAAACUAAGCAAGUAACUGGAGGGGAAUGGGGUAAAGAGUUAAGCUUUGAUAAAAGGUCUCUGAAGGGUGCUAAGCAAUUUUUACUAGUGGAAAGGCAUAGGGAUGGUAUGUCUUGGGUGGCGUUGUCAUCAGAUGGAGGGAGGCCAUCAGGAAUGGUCUCGAAUUGAAAGGAGGGGAGGCCGUCGAGAGAGUUGGGACCUCGAGAUUUAAGGAGGCGUUUGUGGUUGAACUCUGUGUUCACAAAGGUUAUAUGAAAACCUUUGUAGUGGAGGAGCUUAGCUAAUUUCAGCAUUGGGGUUAUGUGACCUUGAGCUGGGUAGGGUAUGCAAACUGCAUGUGGCUUCUUUGUCAAGGCAACAGAACCCAUUCUCUCGUUUCUCUCAAAUCACACACAAAACCUAUGGAAAAUAGGAUAUGCUAUGGUGAAGAGCACCUGCAGUUUUAUAGCAGUGACAUACAAUGUCAAUAAUUGGUGGUCAAUCAUGGACCUGGACAUGUACAUUGUAUUCUCUGAUCAACUUUGCCACAUUUUUAAAUCAUGACCAUUCCUUUUAUUUCCAUUCCGCACCAAUCAUGUCUAAUUAACGACAAAUCGUUAUGUUCUUCAAUCUAGAAUGCGAGAAACGUGUGAAACAGAACAUGUAUAAUCACUAUAUUCCUCAGGCAGAUGUGAGCCAUACCCAAGUUUGGCCAAGCCCAAAAGCAAGACUUGUUUGGGCAAGCUAACCUCACGUUGACGUCAAUAGCCAAUUUAAAUAUUAAAAAAACGAGAAAAAAAAAUGAAAAAAUUCAGAAUUUUUUAUAUAUAAAUACCUAGUCAUAUUCUUCACUUCUCACACCAAAACUCCAUAUAAAUUUAUCUCCUCAUAUUUCAUGUGAAUAGUUGUUGCUCUUGAGUUGCCAUAACAAUGGGUGGGAAUGCAUAAAAAAGAUUUGCUAAGGCAGUCACUAUUCAUAUGAACAGUAAUAGUCCUUGUCUUUUGCCAUGGCAAAUGGGUGAUAGUACUCUAAGAAGAGGGACAUUGCACCCAACGAAAACUAGGUCAAAGCAUAAUAAACAUGAAUGGGCGAAAUAAUCUACGCGAAACCUAGCAAAUAAUAUGAGGCAUAGUUGUAAAAACUAAGGAUAAUAUAGUAAAUUAACAAUUUUUCAUAUUAAAAUUUUUUUUAAAUCAAAAUCAAAGUAAAAACAUGGUCCUAUUUUCACGAGACACAAAAAUCAAACUCAUUUUCUCUUUCGUAAUUUUAAAGUUAAAAAAAAAAAAAAAACAACUAGUGUAUCGGCUAAGUAAGAUAUGAGGAACAAUACGGCUUUUUAUAAAUUCAGCCAGAUAACUCAUGGUGUGGUUACUAAUCAGGAAUUGGAAUUCUCAUCAGGAAUUGAAUUCCACUUAUAGAGGAAUCCUGUGUUUAUUUCGUAUCAAGGAAUUGAAAAGUGAGUGGGGUCCGCACGAAAUUAGGAUUUGAAUUCCUAAUUUUGGAGGAAUUCAAUUCUUGGAUGGGAGGUGAUAUUCUAAUUCUUGGAGAAUUAACCCAUUAGGAAUUUAUCUUUUUUACCCAUUAUAUCCUCACACAAUUUUCAAAUUUUCAAAUUUGCCAUCUACUUAAACCCAACAACUAGGACGAUUUAGUAAUUAGUACCACUCAUACCCCAAUUCUAUAUGGUUUAGUAAACAACUUCAAUGAAAAUCUGAAAUCUAAUUCUCCUUAAUCCAACUCUUCCUCAAUUCAAUUUCUUUUAAUCCAAUUACGAAUAAACAUGCCAUCAGUUGCUUGUUCGGCCUGGUGUCUGAUAUUCAUUAUAAGUUGGGCUGAGCCCUUUUGGGCUUGCCUUGUUUUGGAACUUCUUUUUUUAUUUUUCUUUUUUGUGCUUAAUAUAUUUUUGUUGUACAGAAAAAAAAAAAGAAAAAAAAAGAAAAAGAAAGUGAUAACAGCACCGAUCGAGCUUUCAUGAAAGCACAUGUAUUCAUAGUACAAUUAUAGAGAGAGCACGUCAUCUUAGCCAACUUGCAUAUUAAUCCAAAAACCUGCCAAGGAACAUGGUAUGCAAGCAGUAUCACCACUGGCACCACAGAUAUCUGAUUUCUAAUGUCAUGCUAUGUUUCAUACGGCAGAUGGAUAGGGCUUUAAAGCACAAAUCAGAUCUUCCAAAUCUCGGCAAAAAUUUACCUAUUUCAUUGCAUCAGCUCCCAAGAAAAUGCCAGUCCUUGAGCCAUAUUAGACAUCCAUUUCUUUUUGUCGUGCUAAAUAUUGAAAAGCCAACAUGGAGUGGACCACCUAAGAGCAAACAAAUCCUUUAAGAGUCGGUCCAUUUGGAUGGAGUGAUUUCAAAUUCCGGGAGUUUGAAGAAAUUAUAAGGUUAAAUUUUUUUAUUUAGAUUAUUACGAUAUAUGUAUACUAAGAUUUGAAUAAGAAUGAAAUGACGAAAACAAAUGAAUUAUUGCACAUAGUCAUUUGAAACUCAUUCCGAAUAUACUAUAUUUACGGCUAGUUAUCUCAAACACAUUCGAUCUAAUCUUUUCUUUCUGCGACUUCCAUCCAAACGGAGCCAGAUUUCGGGCCUUUCAAACGCACUACAACAGGAAGCAUGACAUUGACAUGGAAGCCCAUUACGUGCAGCAAGUAUGGCAAGUAGUUGGCAGUGAAAGAUGACCGGAAACGCAUGAGAAGGAGCAAGCGUUGGAUUUGCAUUUGUUUUUGUGGUUCAGAUUUCAAGCACAUCACUACAAAAAGUAAGUGGAAGAUGUUGACAUAUAUGGAGAAAUCUCCAAUGCUGUCUAUAAUUAUUGUUAGGUUUGAAUAAUUCUCAUGGUAACAAAAAAUGUGAAGACACGGAUGCCAGAGAACGAAAGACAAGGGCUGCAUGGAAAUUAUUAUUAUAUUUUGGUCGAAAGAUGGAAAUUAUUAGAAAAAGUACAAAUAAGUGCCCGUCACACUCCAGACAAGUGGGCAUUUGCGUGAGAUUCCACUCCUACAUGCCCUUUGGAGGAGGGAAAGGUUAAAAUUUGUUUGAGUUGUUCUUCUUUAUUUUUCCAUUUAUCAACAUGACUUUCUACUUAUAAUUGUAUUUUGAAGUGAGAAUUAGUGCUUAAAACAUGGAAUUAAUUAGUGGAUACAAGUGAGGUCCGAAAGAGAAAAGUGAACUCAGUUUGUAUUUUAGUAAAUAUAUGGAAGAAAACUCCAUUUAGAUCCAAAACUUGAAUUGGAAAAUUUUAAUUUUAUUUCCUGAUACCAUUUUCGGUAAAAUUCUACGCGUCUCAAUUAUACAACCAGCCAAAUUAAGCUAAUACAAACGGUUUGAUUGAGUUUUUACACUAAAAAAGUUAAUCUUAAACGAAACUGAACCAAAUAGCAAUUAUUCAUGAAAGCUACAUAAACCGAAUCAAACUACCUAUAUUAAUCUUUGUUUUUUUUAACACCUAACAUUUUCUGUAUUGGUUAUUAUCACCAUCUCAUGUGUUUGUUUCAUUCCAUAAUGCACCUCCUUUUUAUUAUUAAACUUCUCCAUCUUCAAUGGAACUAAAAUGUUUGCUUAAUUAUUGUUUAUGCCACUAGUUUAAGAUCUAAAGCAAACAUGAUAUUAUAUUACAGUUCGGAUAAUGAUCAAAACCGAAGGUGAUAAUGUAUUAAAUUGGCGUGAUGUUCUAGGUGUAAACUAAAGUGAACUAAACAAGGCGGAUCCCUUCAAAGCGCCGCUGAUUGCAUUGCAUGCAUAAGAUUGUGAUGCAACACUGGAGUCUGGAGAGCCAUGAAGCCAAUGCACAUUAACACUGGAGUCUGGAGAGCCAUGAAUUCAAUGCAAUGUGCAUUGGCUGUUGGACUAAUUCGUAAUAAACAUUAGAUAUUAAUUGAUGAUCUGACGAAGCCGUUCAUAAGCAAUGAAUAUGUAUAUUUGUGCGUUAUAGAGUGAUACGGUAUCAUCACGUCAACUAGUGAUAUUCUCAUUUAAAAUUUGAUAUGUAUCAAUUUUAAAAGAAAAUUAAAAAACAAUUACACAUGAACUUUGUCUUUCAAGUUCACCCUUCAACAUUAAUUAGACCUAAUCCCUCUCCCACCAUCUCUUCUCUCUUUUCCCUCGCCACCCACCCCAGCCUUUCUCUCCCUUCUCCUCCAACAUCACCAACCCCUCUUUACCUCCCUCUCAUUAACGCAUUAAGAAAAAACCAAAAAUCUUGUCUUGAAUAUAUAUGUGCAAAUCAGAAAUAUUCAAAAGCAUCUUCUAUGAUGAUAAGUUGACAACCCACAAAUGAAAGAAAUGUAAUGAUGGAUGUUUUGGGCAACCAAGUAACCUGGUAGACAGAUUGCCGAUGGGAUCUUGGUGGGACACUGCUACAAUCUUGUUUUCUUUUUCAUGUUUUUCAAAAAAAGUUAAAUAAAAUUUAUUCAGAGUAAAGUUAGAAGACAAAGUACAACUAUGAAAAAAAUAUAAUUAUUUUUUUAAAAUUGACACGUGUUAGAUUUUGAGUGGGAGUAUCACCCGUUGACGUGGUGAUACCAUCUUAUUCUAUAAUUUCUCCUGUGCAUAAAGCCAUAUUAUAUUAUUAGACAACUAUAUAUAUAUAUAUUUUUUUUUUCUGCAAUGAAUUUAAGCUCAAUCUCAGUAGAAACUAUUAUAUUUCGUUUGGUGGUUCGGAUUAAAUUAGAUUAGAAUUGAAUUUAAGCUAGUUCUUAUUAGUCUUAUUCAUUUUUAUAAGAUACAAUAUGUAGAAUGGUUGUCCAUUUUAAUAAGAUCAUUUCCGGAGCACCGAAACAAUUAAGACUAUAACCAUUUAAUUGAUAUAGUCCAGUACAAUCCCACCCAGGGGCAGUUCUACACCUAGGGCAAGGUAGGUUGCUGCCUAUCCCAAAUUUUUCAAAAAGGAAAAAAUACCCAUAUGUAAUAGGCCAACCCAUGUGAAACAUACAAACCUAUGCCCACCCAAAAAGCAACCCACAUGUAUGCAUAAUCUAAAAUUUCUCUCCUCCUUAAUUAUCUUCUCUUUAAUUUCCUACCUCCAAAUUUUAAGAUGUUGUAUAUGACAACAUUGAAUAUAACAUAUUUUAAAUAGGUUAGAAGUUAUGUGUUCUAAUCAAUUUUAGGGUUUACUUAAGAAUGAAUUAUAAUUUGUUGACUUUGUUGAAAUUAAUUAGGUCUUUGGAAUUUUGUUGAGAUGUUUGAUUUGAUAUUGGUAUUGUUGAGAAGUUUGAUUUGUUGUUGGUAUGUUAAUGUUUGAUUAAAGUCAUUGAUGCUAUUAUGACAAUUUAUUUGAUUUUUUGUUGGGAUGUUGGAUUAAAUAGGUUAUCUUUUGGGAUGCCUAUGCCUAUGCAAUCUUAGUUGGGAUGCCUAUGCUAGAGUUUCUUCGAUCUUGCCUGAUCGUUAGUGGAGACAUACAUGAUUUUCUUAAUUUUAAUAUUAGACCACUCUGUUAUUGUAAUGAUCCUUUUGUGGCUAGUUUGUAUUGACCUUUUAUGGCUAGUGGCUUUUUUGGCUGAAUUAUGAAUGCAAUCAUAGAAUUUCUCAAAAAAAAAAAAAAAAAAGGUUAUCUUUUGUUAUAUCGGAUCACAAUCUGAACCCCAAGAAAACAAAGAAUUUUUUGGAUUUUUUUUUAUAAGAAAAAGAAUAGGUUUUUUUUUUUGGCUAAACUUUUAUUUAUAUAUAGAGAUGUAUUUGAGGGUAAGACUUAUUACGUCCCCCUACUAAAGUGUAUAUUUUUAUGUUUUUUUUUUUUUAAUGAGAUUCACUCAUAACAUUGAGUUUUUAAUGUAGACUUCGCCCAACUGAAUUUCGAAUCUUGAAUCCACCAUUAAUCUCACCCACUAUACACACAUGAAACUGCAAAUUAAGAACAGAAAUAGUACCCUUUAUUUAGAUUAAUAGGCAGUUGAAUUUCUCAAAAGCCUCGGCAAACGGUACAUAUUUUAUUUUUUUUAUCAGGAACUGGAUGAUCCAAAUACAGAUUAAAACACCAGAAAGAAAAAAAAGAACAAGAUGGAAUUGAAUCAAUUCUAAUCUCUUGGGGAAAGAAGCACUUUGCUAACCACAUUUUCCAGAGCCAAGUAAGACGACCCUUUUGGGGCAGUGGCGUCCUCUGCCAACUUCUUCCAUUCAAGGGCUUUCUUCCUCAUCUUUUUGCCCUCUUCUCCAUCCAUCAAUGUCCUCACAAGACCGUCAAUGUAAUCUCUUUUAACUUCCCCGUCUAUCUCAAUGCCUAUGCCCCACUGUGUGCAGCUGUACCUAACAUUUGUUUGCUGCUCUGCAAAGAAAGGCCAGCAGAUGAGAGGCACUCCGCCACACAAGGCCUCGAGGGUAGAGUUCCAGCCACUGUGAGUCAAGAACCCUCCAAUGGCUGAGUGGAGCAGAACCUGUUCUUGAGGGCACCAACUUGCCAACAUACCCCUCUCUUUGGUCUCCUCCAAAAACUCAGGCGGCACCACAGCGGUUUCUCCAGCAACAAGGCCAGGCCUGAUGAUCCACAAAAAUGGCUUCUUGCUAUUUGCAAGUCCCCAAGAAAACUCAACCAGCUGCUCAUUUGUCAUGACUGUGGUGCUUCCAAAGUUGACAUAAACCACAGAGUUGGGCUCUUUGGUGUCCAGCCAGUUAAGGCACUCUGUAUUCUCUGCCCACAGGUUCGAUCCGAUCGCCUUCAAAUCAUUGUAUUCUGAUGGAAUCUCGCUGUAUGGUAGCUGAAGGGGUCCAAUGGAGUAAAUAGGAGGUAGCAAAGUGGAAAGGGCAUCCACAACUUCUUGCUCCAAGGCAUCAAAUGUGUUCAAAAUAAUAGCAGAAGCCUUUUUGGAUCGCUCUGUUUCAGACACCAUAUAAUGCAGCAUGAUGUCGUUUGGGUCUGUGGUUCUAAUAAAGCUAGGCAUGUCCUUCAAUCUGACAUCCUUCAUGCCUGGGAUCCAAUCAAUCUCUGUAUCCAAAUACCCAUUUGCAAAAUCCUUGGCAUCUGCAGAUCAAAUUAAGAAAUCAAUGGAACUAGUUAGCUAACACUCUUUAAGUUUUUUUUAAAAAAAGUGAACUUCUGUUUUUUUUUUUCCCUGAAUGAUUAAUUGAUAGUACCUUUAAAAGGAGUGAGGCCCUUCUCAAUGAGACGGUAAUACUGAACGUAGCCCAUCAAGCCACAAGCACUAGUUGUCCAGAAAAGCACUUCUGGGAUCCCGAAAUGCUCUGCUGCAUCAAGGGUGAAGCUGGUGACACCAUCAGCAACAAUACAAGUCACAGGAGGGGAAUCGGGUGAAGAGUUGAGCUUGGUCAAAAGCGCCUCGAAGGGUGCCAAGCAGGUUUUACUAGUGGAAUCGCACACCAAAGGCAAGUUGCGCCUGGCAUCGGCAUCAGCCGGAGGGAGGCCGUCGGGAAUGGUUUCGAAUCGAAACGAAGGGAGGCCGUCGAGAGCGUGGGAACCUUGGGAUUCAAGCAUGCGCUUGUGGUUGAACUCUGUGUUCACAAAGGUUAUGUGGAAGCCUUUGUAGUUGAGGAGCUUGGCUAAUUGCAGCAUAGGGUUUAUGUGACCCUGAGCUGGGAAGGGUACAAAAACUGCAUGUGGCUUCUCUUUGGAGGCAACUGGACUCAUUUUCUCUGUAUGAUAUCCUAGACAAAAGAGCUGAAGGGAAAUGGAGAUGAUGGGAUGCUAAGAGAAGUGUAAGAACUUGCAGUUUUAUAGUGGUGAAGGGUCAAGGGCUGCACUGUGCGGGCAAGUGCUUCUUGACCGUUGAUGCAUUUUUCGGAUUCUCUAUCUGUUUUUUUAAGAUAAAUUGAGUGCCAGUCAUUCCUCGUGGUAUGAUUAUUAUAAUCUCAGAGAUCGACCUUUCCAAAUGAGUCCAAGGCCACGGUGUCCAGAACAAAUGCUCGCACAACUACUGCCUGAUUAGUGUGUUAGAUUGGAGACAUUGUCGCAUGGCAAGUGUGAAAUGUGUGAAAUGUAUGUAGACUUCAAAACGCACACAAGGUUCAGUCAUAAUCAGAAGAGAAAUGCUGGCCGGCAACUUUCAUAAUUUCAUGGGCCAUACUCUUUUAAAUAAAGAUGUAGAAAGUCUUUAAAAAAAGGAGAAGUUUUAGAGAAUAAAUUACAUUGGGAAAAAGAAAAAGAAGUUUCACACUUUCAUUUUUUUCACUUACACUCGUGCAAAGAUAACUAGUCUUAAAUGAUUAUUCAGUAAUUUAUAAAAUAAAAUAAAAUAACAAACUAUGCUCCUGUGUAUAAGGUUGCAUUUUAUGAAGAACAAACAUUAUUUGUCACCAUCAAUUAUGGAUGUUAUUACUUUUUGGUUUAGUUUAAUAUUGAAAAGAGGGAAUAAAUACAUGACCUUGGUUAUAACUUAUAGGGACAAAUAUUCUAAGUCACUUCAGCCCCUUAUAAAAUUUCAAAUUUGACUAAACCAUAUCAUUUUUCAUCUUGACUACCCUACAAUCUCAUUAAAUCUUUCUUUUUCCAUUUGCCUAUGCUAGUCACCAGUCAUUAGAAAAUCCUUGUGGCUGGAUGUCGAAGAGUCUAUGCCAAUGCCCAUUAGUUAUUCCAUUUGAAAGAACAUGUGCUUUGUUUUAUGCAUUUACUUUUUAUUUUAUUUUAUACAAGCGAUAUUGAGGGGAGAGAAAUCGAACUUAGGACCUCGGGUGUAAGUGUAUUUGUUCUUAAUCACUUGAGCUACAAACAGGGGCAGAGCCAUUAAAGGAUUAGUGUGGUCCCAUGCCCCCACUCCAUCUUUUAUUCAUUGUAUUAUAAUAUUAUGUAUGAUGUAUAAUAUUUAACAUAUUAGACUAGUUUUAGGAGAUAUUUAUCCUAAAAUAAAUAGUAUAUUUUUUGUAUUUUUUGUCUACAACAAUAAAACUUCUUAAUCACUUUUUUAUUUCUCUCUUUUACCUUCUAGAUUAGUUUAUGAUAUUUACACUAAAAACUCCUACAUUUUUAACCUUUCUUUCUCUUUUUCUUUUGUGUAAGUUAAACUUUGUGAAUUUUUAUUUCCCUCUCUUUUUUCAUAGAUUUUAUGAACCCCUUUUGUAUUUAUUCUCUAUGUUGGAAUAUAAAUUAUUAAUUUGUGAGUUUAUAAUAUUUUAGAUGAUGAGAUUAGUACUUAACCAUUAUAAAAUAUGAAAUUGCGGACAAUUAUGAUUGUAAUGAAUGGAUAUAUUAAUCAAUAUAAAAUGAUGUUAUGAAGUAGGCCAAAAGGAGUAGUUUAAUUAGUGUCAUAUUAAUUUAGCAUAUUCUUAAUAAACUUGUGAAUGAGAAUGACUCCCUUUAAUUUGAAAUCCUGAUUCUGCCAUUGACUACAAGUCCCUUGCACAUUUACCUUUUUCAUUUAAGUCUGAAGAAUGCCUUGUAAAAAUGUAAAACGAAAACUAUUAUUGACACUGCAAAGAAAACAUCAUACAUUAAUUCAUUCAAUUGUAAUUUCUCUUAUGAUUUUAUAAUUUUUUAGAAUUCCAAUAACAGCUCUGGAUAAAAUUCAUUAGAAAGAAGAAUUGAAGUAUGUUCAAACAGAUUUCAAAAUAGACUAAACAAUUUAUCAGUAACAACUUUUGUCAGCUUAAUUCCAUUUGUGUGUCAAUUUCGUCCUUAUUAUCAUAAAUUCUGUUAUCAGUAAACAAUCCCCAUAUCAAACAGAGUGUUCAGUUAAGGACAGUGACAAUCGAGCAAUAUUGCCUGACGAAACACCAAACCAGAACUUAAAAUCACGAUAAAAAGGAAAAGAAAGACGUGCUGUCUUCAAUGAGAAAACCAACUUCAGAUCUAUUCUCACACCAAGUGAAAACAUAAGGACAAGAUUGAUGAAAUCGAUGACACAUUAACACUACAACACUGGGCGAAACUCGAGUUUCAUUGUGUUGAAAUGAGUGAUACGAGUGUGCCUUAAUCUAAGAAACAUUGCACACCGCCCAAAAAAAUACUCAAUAAUUGUAUUUUGGUCAAACAAAAAAGAUGAGCAAAUUACAAAAAAAGUAAAAAUAAAAAUAAUCAGGGAAUUCAGAAGAUGUUAUAAAGUAAUAAGCGAAGCCCAUAUAAAGAAAGUAAAAGGAUAUUAGUCAAAAGAUGAAAUUAUGAUGUUGCGUAAAAGUAUCAUUAUGUCUCCUUUAGAUGCCAUUUGCUUUGCCUAUAAAUAGGCAUCAUUUUACUUGUAAAGAUACAUGAAUGGAGAAAAGAAGAGAAAGAAGAGAAAGUGAGAGGAAAUAAGAGAGAGUGAGAAAUCUGAGUGUGUGAGUUCUGUCUAAGAAGAAAUUCUAUCAGUGUAAACAUCAUAAAGAGCAAAUAUAAUUUCACUCCCAAUAUUCAGUGGUACUUCUCAUACUCUUUAAUUUCUUUAGUUUUAUAACACGUUAUCAGCACAAUAGUCUCUCCUUUUUAUUUCUAAAUUUGUCCCAGUGUGCUCAACACUAUGUGGUUAUUUCUCUGUCUCCUCUCUGUCAUAUGUCUCAUCUCACUUUACUACUACGACGACAUGCAAACUUUCUUUUUUGUGUUCUCACAAUUUUUAUGUUGUUUCAUCCAUGCUUGUUUAAUUUACUUCUUUGUAACGUAAUUUGGAAUGAUGCCGUUUUAUACCCCAUCAUGUUGUUUUAUGGUGGUGUAAUUUUUAUUACCCAUCACGUUGUAACACAAAUUAUCAUAAUAAAAUGAUGGUGUGAUCUUAAAACCCAUAUAUUAUAUUUUGAAUAGUGGCGCAGUUAUAUUGCCUGCAAUAUAUAAUAUGUUAUAUACUUUAUAUAUUUUAGGUGGUGGUUUUUGUCUCCACAUUUACUUUAACAAAAUGGACGGUUUUCACCUCCUAUAUUUUUCAGUGGUGGUUUUAUCCCCACAUUUAUUUUAUUUAUGGUAUAGAGUAGGUUUAUUACUCAUACGGCAAUAUUUAUUUAAAAAUGUGGCACGGGUUUAUCGUCCACACAGCUGCCUUUAUUUUUAUUUAAAAGUAUGGAGCAGAAUUAGUCCCCCUGCAAGCACAUUUGCUUUAUUAUUGUAUGGUGUGGAAUUAACCUCCAUACAACAAGCAAUUUACUUUAUGAAUUUACUUUACUGCACAUUUUCUUUCAUUUAAGGUAUAGUGCGAAUUUAUCGUCCAUACCAGCAAAUUUAUGGCACUUUAUUUUUAUCAUCAAUUAAUAUACCUGAAUAAUGAGGGCCUGAAGUUCCUAUUAAUAAGUGGCUUAAUGUCCCAGAUCCCAAGCCUAAAGUUUCGGAUGGCAAAUUUGGCAAAACUGAAGUUUACUGCCUUGGACAUUUCUGGAGACAACUAUUUAUCAUGGCUUUUGGUUGCCAAAAUCCAUCUACGUGCCAAUGGCCUCGUACAAACAAUUUUAUAUGGGAAUGAUGAUUUGCCUGAAGAAAAUGCGAAGGCCAUGAUCUUUCUUCGUCACCACAUCCAUGAAGCGCUGAAAAGCGAAUAUGUGGUGGUUGAUGAACCGUUGGUUCUAUGGAAAGCUUUAGGUGAAAGAUACGAUCACUAGAAGAUGGUGACCUUCCCAAGAGCUAGAUAUGAAUGGACCUACUUGAGAUUUCAAGAUUUCAAGACAGUGUCCGAGUACAACUUUGCUAUGCACAGAAUUACCUCAUUGAUGAGGCUAUGUGGUGAAAAUAUAUCUGAGGAGGAUAUGCUCGAAAAAAACUUUGAGCACUUUUCAUGCUUCAAAUGUCCUCCUGUAGCAGCAAUACAGACAUAGCGGUUUCAAGAAGUACUCGGAACUUGUAUCUUGCCUCUUGUUAGUUGAGCAGAAUAAUGAACUCUUAUUAAAGAAUCACCAAUCUUACCCAACGGGCUCAGCACCACUUCUUGAAGUAAAUGUUGCAUCUCAAGAAGUGAAUGUCACCUCAUCCCGUGGCAAUAUCCACAGACGUGGACAAAAAGGCAAGCGUGGCUGCUGGCAAAGAAGCAAAAAAGAUCGUGGUGCUCGUUCAGAUGGUUUAGGUUCAAUGAGCAAUCAUCCACGAAUGGCAAAAAUGCAUCCCGUAAUAAGGGGAAGGCACGGACGAGCCAUGUGCCUAGAAAUGUGGGAAGUACUUGUCACAGAUGUGGUGCAAAGGGACAUUAGGCGCGUGAAUGUCAUACGCCCAAGUAUUUGGCAAGCUCCAAAAGAGUCAAGAAAUUAAAGUCAGACAAAUCCGCUCAAACGAUAACCUGGCAGAUCUCUUCACCAAAUUAUUGCCAAAAUGUACAUUUCAAAAGUUAGUGCAUGGCAUCGGAUUACGAUAACUCUUCAAGCAAUCAAAUUGAAACAUGCAAAAUUAGGGGGAGCAUUCAAGAGUCCACUAACACAGGACAUAUGAGCGUUGUACUCUUUUUCCUUCGACUAGGGUUUUUCCUAGCAAGGUUUUAACGAGGCAACAUGAGCGCAUUUAACAUUACCCUUAUGUCCUAAAUAAAGUUGUACUCUUUUUCCUUCAUUUAUGUUUUUUCCCACUGGAUUUUUUCAAGUAAGUUUUUAAUGAGGCAACCAAUCUAGGGACAUGUAGUCUCCAAGGGGGAGUGUUAUAAAGUAAGAAGUGAAGCCCACAUGAAGAAAGUAAGGAGGUAUUAGUCAAAAGAUGAAAUUAUGAUGUUGGGUAGAAGUAUCAUUAUGUCUCCCUUAGAUGCCAUUUGCUUUGCCUAUAAAUAGGCAUCAUUUUACUUGUAAAGAUACAAUAAUGGAGAAGAGAAGAGAGAGAAGAGAAAGUGAGAGCAAAGAAGAGAGAGUGAGAAAUCUGAGUAUUUGAGUUCUGUUUGAGAAGAAAUUUUGUCAGUGUAAACACCAUAAAGAGAAAAUAUAAUUCCACUCUCAAUAUUCAGUGGUACUUCUCAUACUCUUUGAUUUCUUUAGUUUUAUAACAGUAGACAAAUUCUUCAGCUACACCACCCAAGAAUUUUUCCUGGAAAUAGAGUUUUGAAAGUGGUACCAAGGACAAGUUCAUGUGACAAAAUUAAUACAUUCUAAUUUUUGGAAGAUAGAAGCACCUUGUUAACCAUUUGUUCCAAAUCCAAAAAGGAUGAUCCAUAUGGACCAGUAGUAGCCUCCUCUGCCAACUUCUUCCAUUCCAAGGCUUUCUUCCUCAUCUUUUUGCCCUCCUCUCCCUCCAUCAACUUUCUCACCAGCUCCUCCACAUAAUUUCUUUUCACAUCAUCCCCUACCUCCAACCCUACGCCCCAUUCUCUGCAGCUGUACCUACAAUUGGUUGGCUGCUCUCCACAGAAGGACCAACAGAUCAGAGGCACACCACCGCACAAACUUUCCAGUGUAGAGUUCCAUCCACUGUGCGUCAAGAACCCUCCCACCGCUGGGUGGCUCAGGACUUGUUCUUGAGGGCACCAAUGAGCCAAUAGAGACCUGUCUUUCGUCUCUUCCAAAAACUCUGCUGGAACCACAGCUGAUUCUCCCCUAACAAGGUCUGGCCUAAUCACCCAUAGAAAUUUUUUUUUGCUAUUUGCAAGUCCCCAAGCAAACUCAAUCAGCUGCUCAUUUGUGGUGACUGCAAUGCUUCCAAAGUUGACAUAAACCACAGAGUUGGGUUCUUUGGUGUCUAGCCAUUGAAGACACUCUGGCUCCUCUGUCCAUAGGUUUGAAACAAUCGACUUCAACUCGUUCUCUGCUGGGAUCUGUUUGAGUUGUAGGUUUAGGGGUCCAAUGGAGUAAACAGGUGGAAGCAAAGUUGAAAGUGAGUCUAUGACUUCAUGUUCCAAGUCAUGAAAUGUGUUCAGAAUGACGGCGGAAGCUUUCUUAGUUCUCUCUGUUUCACCCACCAGAAAAUUCAGCAUGAUAUCAUCUGGCUCUGUGGUUCUCAUGAAGGUUGGCAAGUCCUUCAAACGGAUGUUCCUCAUGCCUGGUACCCAAUCUAGCACAGUAUUUAAAUGCCCGUUUGUAAAAUAACUGGCAUCUGCAAAAUCAGAUUAACAAAGUCUGUUAUGUUUUGUUCAGAGGGAAAAACGGCAGUUUACUCUUAAUCAGACAAUUGAUUGAUUGAUUAAUACCUUCAAAAGGAGUGAGACCUUUUUCUAUGAGUUGAUGAAACUGAACGUAGCCCAUGAAACCACAAGCACUAGGUGUCCAGAAAAAAACUGCGGGAACACCAAGUUCCUGAGCUGCAUCAAGAGUGAAACUCAUAACACCAUCAGUGAUUAAGCAAGUGACACGUGGGGAAUCAGGCGAAGAAUUGAGCUUGGAGAGAAGGUCUCUGAAGUGAGGCAAGGAGUGUUUGCUAGUGGAAUCACAUAAGGAUGGUAUGUCUUGGGUGGCAUCGGCAUCGGUUGGAGGAAGGCCAUCGGAAAUGGUCUCGAAUCGAAACGUGGGGAGGCCGUUAAGAGCGUCGGGACCUCGAGAUUUAAGGAGGCGUUUGUGGUUGUACUCUGUGUUCACAAAGGUUAUGUGGAAGCCUUUGUAGUGGAGGAGUUUGGCUAAUUGCAUGAGAGGGUUUAUGUGACCUUGAGAUGGGAAUGGCACGAAGACUGCAUGUGACUUCUUUGAGGUCAAGGCAAUUGAACUCAUCCUCUCUCCCGUCUCUCCCA
rnacentral:lncRNA from 1 species